rnacentral:lncRNA from 1 species
GAGCAGGAGCACGAGCAGUGCUCGCCCGGGAAAUCUUGUUAUUCGAACCAGAGGCCGUUGCUAGCCGGCAGCACUAGCCAAAGCUCGAGCAGUGAGAGGGAGCUAAGCUAACCAUGUGCAGCCAUGGCCAUGCGCCGACGUGCGUCACCUGCCCGCCCCCGUCGCAGGGGCAGCUCAUCACGGUGCUCAGCAUCGACGGCGGCGGCAUCCGCGGCCUCAUCCCCUCCACCAUCCUCGCCUGCCUCGAGUCCAAGCUCCAGGUACGUCGUCCCUCUGCGCCUCCAUUGUAGUGUUCUCAUUGAAGGCCGUCUUCGUCUUCGUCUUCGUCUUCGUCAUCCUAUAUUGGUUGAUUGAUUGUGAUGUGUGUUGUGUUUGACUUGACAGGAGCUGGACGGGCCGGACGCGCGCAUCGCGGACUACUUCGACGUGAUCGCCGGGACGAGCACCGGCGCGCUGGUCGCGUCCAUGCUGGCGGCCCCCGGCGAGAACAAGCGGCCGCUCUUCCAGGCCAAGGACAUCAACAAGUUUUACCUCGACAACGGGCCCAAGAUAUUCCCACAGAGGAGGUACGUACGCACGCACUCACUCACUCACUCACUCACUCACUCACGCACGUCUUCUUCUCUUCUACUUCCGGCGAACCCUGUCGUCGGCGGCGAUGUCGAUGUUGAUGUCGGCGUUGCUUCACGUGCAGCUGGGGAUUCCUGACCCCAAUCGGGAACCUGUUCGGCGCCGUGAACGGUCCCAAGUACGACGGCAAGUUCCUGCACGACAAGAUCAAGAGCCUCACCCACGACGUCACCAUCGCCCAGACCGUCACCAACAUCAUCGUCCCCACCUUCGACAUCAAGUUCCUGCAACCCGUCAUCUUCAACACGUACGAGGCCAGGGUGGACCCGCUCAAGAACGCGCACCUCUCCGACAUCUGCAUCAGCACCUCCGCCGCGCCCACCUACUUCCCCGCGCACUACUUCACCACCCACGACCCCGCCGGGAACCUCUCCGACCGCGAGUACCACCUCAUCGACGGCGGCGUGGCCGCCAACAACCCCACCAUGGCCGCCAUGUCCAUGAUCACCAAGGAGGUGCUGCGCCGCAACCCCGACUUCACGCACGGCAAGCCCGCCGAUUACAACAACUACCUCAUCAUCUCCAUCGGCACCGGGUCCGCCAAGCAGGCCGAGAAGUACACCGCGCCCGAGUGCGCCAAGUGGGGCGUCCUCCGCUGGCUCUACGACGGCGGCUUCACCCCGCUCAUCGACGUCUUCUCCCAUGCUAGCGCCGACAUGGUCGACAUCCACGCCGCCGUCCUAUUUGAGGCCCUCCGCAUUGAGGAGAACUACCUGCGCAUCCAGGACGACUCGCUCACGGGGCAAACGUCCUCGGUGGAUAUCGCCACCAAAGAGAACAUGGAGGCGCUUAUUGGGAUCGGUAAGAAUCUGCUCACCAAGACCGUAUCCCGGGUAAACAUUGACAAUGGGAUGUAUGAGACCGUCGACGGUGCUGGCACCAAUGAAGAGGCGCUCGUCCGCUUCGCCAAGAGGCUCUCCGAGGAGCGCAAGCUGCGCCAAACCAACCUCAACUCCAAGUAGAGAAGAGAAGAGAGACGAAGAAGCACUACCUACAAUGCUUAGGGAUGCAACCAGAUGCGUAAAGGAUUCGUUACUUUAAUAAUUAUGAUUUAUGAUUGUUUUAGUUAUGCUUUCGCGGAUAAACGGAAAUAAAAAUGUAUGUUUUUUUCAUGGUAAUAAAGAUGUAUGUUGUCCACUUGCAUCCAAGCUAUGCUAAUUUAGACUUGUACUUUCUUUGAUUCAAAAUAAACUCCACGGUUUUGAACUACUAGGAUUGAAUGUGGGCGACUAAUUAUUAUUUUUGAAAUAAAAACAUGAGUUGUGGCUAGUACCGCCUCUAAAUUCUUUUUUUAAAACUAUCGAGACAAAUGAACGGUGCAGAUUAAAACUUAAAACACUGGUGGAAAAAGGGCCUUUGGUCGCGGUUCGCAACUGCCAUUAGUCGCGGUUGCGCAACCGCGACCAAAUAAGCGCGACUAAAGGCCCCCCCCCCCUUUAGUCGCGGUUGCUUAAGAACCGCAACUAAAGGCCCGUCCACGUGGGCGCCAGGCGGCCGUCGGGGCAGAGGACCUUUAGUCGCGGUUCUUCUGCCCAACCGCGACUAAAGGCCCCCCCUAAACCUGUUUUCUGUUUAAUUUGUAUUGUUUUAUUUCUUUUGUGCUUUAUUUUAAUUUUGAAGGAGUUUCACAUAUUCUACGGUACUACAUACAUGCAUAUGAAUGUACAAUUUCAAACAAAUUUGAAAUUAGAACCAAAAAGAAUUCAAGAGGAAUAUACAAUAUAUAUUCAAUAUCAUCGGAUGACCAUAUACAAUUUUGAACAAGUUUCCAUACAUAAUUUAAUGCAUAUGAAGUUCUACGUCCUCGUAAUGGUGUUCUCCUUUACGAUGGAGGACUUCCCUCCUGAACCAUCCAGCUAGUUCCUCUUGAAGUGGUCGGAAGCGAGCUUCUGGACUAAGCAUCACCCGGAGGUUAUUCCGCUGAGCAUUGGUAUCACUCGGAACCCGCUCAGAGGUGUAUCUCCGGAUCAUCUCACAGACAUAGUAUCCACAUAGAUUGGUCCCCGUUGGCUGAAUAUCCCCACCAUUCUUAGCCUUUGACCUUUUGAAUUCUAGCUCUUUUUUGAAUUCACCGACCUUUGUAUCUACGAACCGUCUCCAAACCCUACGAGGCAAAGAAAAUUAAAUGAACAAGAGAGUUAUUAGUUACUUGAUAUUAGGAAAUGAACGAAAUAGGCCGAUCGAUAUAGAGCGCAAAUGAAUGAAAAUAAUUACUUCUGCAGCAUUCUUCUCAUGCCGCCCCAAAGCUUUGGAUCCAUAUUCAGAGAGUCGUGGACGAGACAUUCUGAGGUGUCAACUUUAAUUACUAGCAGAAUCCAGUGGAACCUGCGGACACGAUACAUGCACAGUACGUCAUGCAUAACUCAUCGAUUAGCCGGCCACAUAUCAUGCAUGGAGUAAACAAAAGAGAAUGUGCUCAAGACAGAAACACUCACCCAAAAUGGUAAGGAAAUAGAAUAUCACUUUUGAGUUCCUGCUUUGUAAGAAACUGCCACAGGUCUGCCUCCAUGUCGGCGGGGUGAUGCUCCAACACAUAUCCAUUAACGAUGUGUGGGUCAAUGAACCCAACAUCAUGGAUGUUCCUUACUCUGCAUUCCUUAAUCUUCAUUCUGCAUGUAUAAUAGCGGACACAACAAUAUAGUUACGACAUAUAUAUAGUGCAGGCAAUAUGAACGAGAUGGGGUAUAAAUAAAUCACUUACAGAACGUAGCAACUGAUGAUAGAUUUGUCGAGCUCGCGCAGAUUGAAAAGCUGGAACAAUUCACUCAGAUGAAUUUGUACAUAGUAAUGUUUGAAGUGAUGCUCAUAUCUAACUUCCGCAUAAAUAUAAUCUUUGGCGUUUUUAUUUUUUAUGUAACCCUUGUACCAUUUCACCAGACCUUUCAUUUGUGGAGAUAGAUCCUCUUCCUGCGCAGGCUCGACGAGAGGCCCAUUCUUCACAUAUGUAAUUACUACCUCCUUCACUGGCGCCUCAUCAAGGCCUAACAUUUCACGAAGAGUAAUACCUAAGUUGGCCGCUUGUUCUCUGGCACUCGUUACAGUCAAUCCAUGUGCUGCCGCAGCUGCUAUGAUAUCGGGGUCAUCCGGACCGGCGGCUUUCACUAUAAGCGGGGCAAUCGAUUGUUUACUUUGUUCCCCGAGCUGGGCAACUCGUUUCCCGCUUUUUUUACUUUCUAACUCCGUUUUCUCGGCCUCCUCCAAGGCUUUGUUCUCCUGGUUCUCCGCCCGCUCUUUCUUCUCCUUCAACAUGAGUGCCUGCCUACGAAGUUCACGUGCAUAGUCGUCAGGCAGAUUCUUCGCGGCUUGGGACGGUGUGCUCAAAAAUGACUUAGCCCACUUCUUUUGCUCAUCAGAAAAUACUGGCUUGGGCUCGGGCUCUCUUUUCUUCUUGCAGUCCGCCUUCCAUUUCUCAUGAUCAGCAGCCGCCCUCGCGGCAGUUUCCUCGGCACUACGUUCCCAAGGCCUUGUGGGGAGAGGCUUCAGUGAUGGCUCCGGUACCUUUGUGGUCUUAGGUACAUAAGGGUCCGGGUUAAUAAUCCAUGACUGCUUCUGCUUCUUUGCCGGAGGUGGAUUGGGGGGUGGCGUCUGAUCACCCGCCGGACGAGGACUGGGGGGCGGCGUCUGAUCACCCGCCGGACGUUGUGGACUGGGGGGCGUCGGCUGACGUGACGGAGGUGUAGGUGAACCGUCACCACCACCACCACCGCCACCGCCACCACCACCACCGUAGGGGGGUGGACUUGUUGUCCUUGGCGCCUCGCCUGGAAACUUGAUAAACUUCUUUUGCCAUAGAAUGAAAUGGCGCUUGACAUCUCCAAGUCUUUUCUCCCCUUCAGGUGUAGCAAUGUCAAUCUCCAGGUCCUCAAACCCUUGGACUAUGUCCUCCACCGUGACACGAGCAUAGCCAUCUUGAAUGGGGUUGUUGUGGUGGAGUGCUCCAGGUAAACAUGGUAAAGCACUGCCGAUGGCUACCUUCAUGGACAUGUUCCCGAUAGGAUAAUACAGAUGACAUUCUUUCAUCUCCUUUAUAUCGUCCACGGGGUAGCGAGGAGGCUCCGGUGCAGUAAUUUCGACCACCAGAGGCUCCGGUGCAGUAAUUUCGAUCGUCGGUGCAUCUGCACCAGCUGGUGGGGCCUCCGUGGAAGCCACGCUGCUUCUCCGCUGCUGGCUUCCGAGAUCCGCUGGAUGAUCUUCAUGCUGCGCCCGAACAUCUCUUUCGGCUAAUAGUACACUCAUGGUUUUCUUCAUCACAUCCAUUUCCGAUGCCAACCGCGCCACAACAUCUGCUUCCCGAUCCAUCUUUCUCUUACGGCUUCUGUAACCGUACGGGUCAUCGUUCUGGGGGAACCCUAUUUUCCACGGAAUGUUCCCCAUGCCUCGUACACGUCCUCCGUGUUCAGGAUUCCCGAGGGCUUUUGUCAGCGCGUCGUUCUCUCUGUUGAACUUGAUCUUCCCCUCUUGAGCAUCCCUCAUUGCGUCAAUAAGGGCUUGGGUGGGUUUAAUUAAUUUGCCCCGGUAAACACACUCCCCUGUCUCCGGGUUCAGCGUUCCCCCAUGCCCGUACCACCAGCUUUUGGCCCUUUGGUCCCAUCCCUCCGUACCUGGACGGAUUCCUCGCGCCCUCAGCUCGUUCUCCAUCUUCUCCAACCUAGGCACCCAAAUGCGAUACCCUCCUGGCCCCAUAAUAUGAUUGUACUCCUUCUUAGCCGCAUUUUCCUUAUUUCUUUUCGAUAUUUGAAUGAACUGCUCCGAUUUCUUUUGCUUCACAAAUUCUGGCCAAUCAUGUUUCAGUUUCUCAUAUUGUCCUUUGAAAUCCGGAGUCUUGUUCUGCUUGACAAAGUCAUGGGCUAGAUUUUGCAUUGAGGAAUGCACAUAGCUUCACAAUGGCUACUCGAACAUUUUGCGGCAGGAGCCCCCUCAAAGCAAUCGGAAGCAAUUGCGUCAUAAUCACGUGGCAGUCGUGAGACUUCAGGUUUUGGAACUUUUUCUCCGCCAUGUUUAUUAUUCCCUUUAUAUUGGACGAGAAUCCAGACGGGACCUUCAUACUGCUCAGGCAUUCAAAAAAGAUGACCUUCUCUUCUUUGGUCAGAGCGUAGCUGGCACGACCUUGAAACCAUUCCGGAUGCCGGUCAUCAGGGUCUUUCAAACGUUGCUGGUCCUGCCGUGCUUCCUUUGUAUCAUUUGUCUUCCCAUACACGCCCAAGAAGCUUAGGAGGUUCACGCAAAUAUUCUUCGUAACGUGCAUCACGUCGAUUGCAGAGCGGACUUCUAGGACUUUCCAAUAUUCUAGCUCCCAGAAUAUAGAUUUCUUCUUCCACAUGGCUGCGUGCCCGUCAGCUCCCUUCGGAACUGAUUGUCCGCCAGGACCCUUUCCAAAGAUGACUUUCAAAUCCUUGACCAUAUCAAAUAACUCAGCACCAGUGCGUUCCGCAGGCUUCGGCCGGUGAUCUGCCUUGCCGUUGUAAUGCUUGCCUUUCUUUCUUACUGGAUGAAUUUUCGGAAGAAAUCGACGAUGCCCAAGGUACACGUUCUUCUUACAAUUUGGCAAAUGUACACUUUCAGUCUCAUGUAAGCAGUGCGUGCAUGCAUUGUAUCCCUUAUUUGACAGUCCCGAAAGGUUACUAAGAGCAGGCCAAUCGUUGAUGGUUACGAAAAGCAACGCUCGUAGGUCAAAUUCCUCUUCUUUGUGCUCAUCCCACACACGGACACCAGGUCUGCCCCACAGCUGUAAAAGUUCAUCAACUAAUGGCCUUAGGUACACAUCGAUGUCGUUGCCGGGUUGCUUCGGACCUUGGAUGAGCACUGGCAUCAUAAUGAACUUCCGCUUCAUGCACAACCAAGGAGGAAGGUUGUAGAUGCAUAGAGUCACGGGCCAGGUGCUAUGGCUGGAGCUCUGCUCGCCAAAAGGAUUCAUGCCAUCUGUACUUAGACCAAAUCUUAUGUUCCUUGCGUCAGCUGCAAAAUCUUUGAACUCUCUGUCGAUCUUUCUCCAUUGCGUUCCAUCUGCGGUGUGUCUCAACUCCCCGUCCGACUUACGGUCCUCUUUGUGCCAUCGCAACAACUUGGCAUGCUCUUUGUUCCUGAACAAACGUUUCAACCGUGGUAUUAUAGGAGCAUACCACAUCACCUUGGCGGGAACCCUCUUCCUGGGUUUCUCGCCCUCAACAUCGUCACCAGGGUCAUCGCCUCUGAUCUUAUAACGCAAUGCAGUGCAUACCGGGCAUUCAUUCAAAUUCUCGUAUUCACUGCGGUAGAGGAUGCAGUCGUUGAUGCAUGCAUGUAUCUUCAGAACCUCUAAACCUAGAGGGCAUACAACCUUCUUUGCUUCGUACGUACUGGCGGGCAACUCGUUAUUCUUUGGAAACAUAUUCUUCAACAUUUUCAGCAAGUUUUCAAAUGCCGAGUCAGCUACACCUGCCUGUGCCUUCCAUUUCAGCAAAUCCAGUGUGCAGCCCAGCUUUUUCAGACCAUCAUCGCAUCCGGGGUACAACGACUUUCUGUGAUCCUCUAACAUGCGAUCCAAAUUCUCCCUCUCCUUUUCAGUUUCGCAGCGUCUCCGUGCAUCAGCAAUGGUCCGACCAAGAUCAUCAACGGUCUCAUCACGUGCCUCUUCUUCACCUUCACCUUCCCCUUCACCUUCCCCUUCACCUUCAGCAUCCUCCAUGAAAGUAUCACCGAAAUGAGCAAGAUAGCUUUCAUCCAUGAAAUCAUCCCCUUCUUCAUCUUCUUCCAUUAUAACCCCUCUUUCUCCAUGCUUGGUCCAACAAUUAUAGCUUGGCAUGAAACCGUGCCGAAGCAGGUGCAGGUGAACUUCUCUUGAGGAAGAGUAACCCUUCUGAUUCUUACAGUCAACACAUGGACAAAUAACAAAACCCUUCUGCUUGUUCGCAUUAGCCACUACGAGGAAAUCUUUCAAACCCGUAGUGAAUUCGCGGGAGAGUCGGUUACCGUACAUCCAUUGCCGAUUCAUCUGCAUUAUUAUAAUAUAAAAUAUAUAAUUAACCAUCAUGCAUUUGUUAAACUAACUAGCUAUAAACAAUAGAAAUUAAACAAUGAACAACACACAUGCAUAUAUAUUUUAUCAAUGACACACAUGCAUGAAAGGUUCAAGUUGCUAACCGCGAUCGAGGAGGAAAAAAUAAAUGAGGAACCUCAAGUGUGGCUCCAACACUUCAUAUCAUGUUUGUUUCACGCUCUUGGGGCAUUUCAUCAAACACCUUGUGUGCAUAAGAGGAACCAAAAGCAAACCUACACCCCCUUGUGAAGCUUGUGAAGAGAAGUGGCACCAAAUGGCUAAGUGAGUGUGCUGAACUGGUAUCUAUAGGGGAGGAGAUUUAGUCGCGGUUGGCAUGGCAAACCGCGACUAAAGGCCUUUGGGCACCUUUAGUCGCGGUUGGCCUGGCCAACCGCGACUAAAGCCCCUCACGUGCACCAGCUGGCCACCGAGCGCCCUGGCCCAGGCCUUUGGUCGCGGUUCGUCUGCCGAACCGCGACUAAAGAAAUCAUUAGUCGCGGUUCCUACAGUGUCGCGACUUAUGGGGCUGGACGGAAGCCUCUUUUUCUACCAGUAAAAAGAGCAAUAAUGACAAUUCACGUGUUAAAAAUGUUGUUGUAGUGUGAGUAAUGAGGGUCAGGGCAGAGUAGUUUUACUUUUCUUUUUUUCUUAUUAAACUAAGGCCAUGUUUGAAAUCACAACAGAUUAUAAUAAUCUGGAUUAUGAAGAUAGAUUAUAUAAUCUAGUUUAUAAAAAUAAUCUAGGUGAACAUGUUUGAAGGUCAGAUUAUAUAAACUGUAAUUCAGGUUUUACAUUGCAUAAUGACAUGUCUGCCAUUUGUUUUUUGAAGAAAAAGGAGGGUAGCGGUGACAGGAAUGUAAUUAUCUCCAACUUUACAAGGGUAAUGGGUCAUUAGCAAUCCAUAAUCUGAUUUUAGCUGAGGUAGAGUAGAUUGUGAGUUUUUAAUAAUCUAUCCAUCCAGUUUUUAUAAUCUACAUCAUAAUCUGUCUUGUUUGGAGACAUAAUAGAUUAUAAAAAUCGGAUUAUAUAAUCUUAGUGGUUCCAAACAAGGCCUAAGCCAAGGGAUUCCGUAUCCAUAAAUAAAACGAGGCCACGAUCUCUCCCGUCGUCUCCGUUCACAGCGAUUCCCCGCGUCAGCCUCCUUCACGAACGCAGCCUCCAGCGCUGCUAGAAAUCCCCUACAAGUUUAAUGGCCAACGCUCAGGCCAUCCCCAGAUUUGCUGUGGCUGGAAGUGGACCGUCGCACUCCAGUGCGGUACUCGGUCGCGUGUCUUUAAGGAUGGUCGUAAUGACGAGUAUCAUAUACGCAUACAUAUCAUGCAUAUGAUAUUAUAUAUCCGUAAUGUAUAGUAUCAUAAGAUAUAUUUAUUUAUUAUCAUGCAUGGCACAUAGUAUUACGAUAAUUAAUACGAUGCGCAAUUUUCUUUUUCUUACAGUCAAGUCCUAAUCGGUUCUCUUGGAUUUUGGGUGGCGUUUGGUCUGGCAUUAGGUGAUCAAGUUAGCACAAAACCUAUGCAAAUCAUGGCAAACAUGCCAUGGAUGAAAUAAACUCAAGUGGAGCACAAAGUUGGCAUGACAAAAAUCAUCAUUAGUUGAUGUUGUGUCGUUACCAACUUAUCCAGAAUUGCCACGCCAACAAAAUUAUGUUUAGAAAAUGUCAUGGCAAAGAAAUACAAUGAAUAGAAUAAAUAUGACACAAACUAAAAUUUCCCAUCUAUGUAAAACAAAUUUCCCAUGGAAAUAGAAUUUUUUGCCAUGGCAAUGAAAAGAAAUUUUUGCCAUGCGACGAAGUAGAUUUUUGUACGCCUUUAUAGUACCGGGAUAUGCCAUCAUACAAAAGUAAAAGUUGCCAUGCUAACAUAAGUUCAAACCCAUGAGAAAUGAUGAAAGUAACAUUGCCAUGUAUGUAAAGUAAAGUUUGCCAUGGCAAUGAAAGUAAAUUUACCAUGGCAAAUAAAGAAGUAAAAAUGCCAUGGCAAUAAAAGUUAAAAAAUUGCCAUGGAGAUAUAGGUAAAUUUGCCGUGUGAAUAAAGGUAAAUUUGCCAUGUCAAAAUAAAACCUCAAUUGACUGAAUUAAUGGACUCCGCCACUAUACCCUUCCUUGUUGCUGCUGUCCUUUAUUGGCUUCAAUUAGCUUAAUUAGCAACAGCCAAGCCAGCACCCGUCUCCAGCUGCAGCGGAAACCAAUGAAUAAUGCUAGUAACUAAAUUUCCAUGAGUUCAUGUCCGAGAGAACUAUUUCUACAUCUUGACUUCUUGAGUGUUGAGUCGUCGUUGUAUAACUGAAUUAAUGGGUAACGGCAUGCAUAAUACAGUAGUACAUAAAUAAGUACUGGCUUGCUUAAAUAGUCCUGAUUGCAUUAACAUAUGCAUGAUAGUAAAUGUGGUUCUACUGCACAAGAUUGUAACACAGUAAGUUUCUGGGCAAAAUAGUGGGUUACUUUAACAUUUUGAAUCUUCAGGUAAUGUAUCAUCAAUUUACCGAGACAUGUGUGGUGGUCUUCGAUUUGUGGGCACUGGCGUUGUUGGUCUGGAGGUUUAACAUCACCAUCAGCCCCACAAGCAACAGCCACAACGGUGGUGUUGUGUCCAGAGGUUCCUUAUCCGUCCCCUGGUAGAGGCAUCAUCUCGUCUUCUUCACAAUUAAUUAGGAGCUCUAUUCCUCGCAAACCCACCAAAUCAACCUCAGGAACUAACCAAUGCACUUGGGAUCCAGACACCCACCAUGCCAAUCCUCAGCCUCUCUGCUAAGCCGCUGCCUCGCCUCCCUGCAAACCAAGGUAAUCAAUCAAGUCAGCACCUGGUAGACGUCGAUUAAUUAGCUAGGUUUCCAAAUAUACAGGGGAAAACUUGAUUCAGUGUACGUUCUCCUGCCAACAUUUCAGGCUUGUCGAGGUUAAGUAAGAGGCUGAACCUUGCGCCUACGUCAAGGAUAAGGAUCACGAUGCUCAAGCAACAAGAUCGUCAGGGGAAUGAAAAUGGCAGCAGGCCUCUGUACCUCGGAAUAGACUUUGGAACUUCAGGCGCCAGAUACGCUCUUAUUGACAAGCAAGGGGCCAUCCAUGCCGAAGGCAAAAGAACCUACCCAGCUGUAAGAGCCUAGUAACCUCUCUAACAUAUGUUCAAAUCUUGCAAAUCCAUUCCCGCAUAAACAAAGUUGCAAAUCCAUUAUAUUUUGAUUUAUCUGGGUACUUGGCUUCCUGCCUCAAACCAAACUUACCAUCCUAUCCAUUCAUGCAUGACCAUAGCUAAAUUUUAUCCAUUCAUUUUCCACUCCUUAUGAGCCUGUAUGUGCAUCCUUUUGGUUGGAGACUUGCUAGGCAGGUUGGACAAAGCACCAACUGGGCAGGCUCCUGGAGAGAAGCACUCUUCCACCUUCUCGGCGACAUCCCGUCCGUUCACCGGCCAUCGAUCUCCUCCAUCUCCAUUGAUGGGACUUCAGCAACCACUCUCAUCAUUGAUAGGUUUGCAGACUUUCCUCCUCGAAUCAUGAAUACAGGAGCUACGUAUAAUAAUUUUUUGGAUGAUGAAUUGGGUUGACCAAUCCAAUGUAGUGCCUGUUUUGCGCAAGCUGCAGAAACAAUGGAGAGCUUCUUGCUGGUCCUUUCCUCUACAACGAGAGCUUCCCCGACGCUCUGCCCAUGGUCAAAUCGAUCGCUCCUGCGAAUCACACGGUGUGUUCCGGUUCGUCCACCCUGUGCAAGCUCGUGUCAUGGUGGAACAAGCAUUAUUCGAAUGGCGGCGACGAUUCGGCGAUACUGAUGCACCAAUCAGACUGGCUGCUGUGGCUUUUGCAUGGGAAAUACGGUGUUUCCGAUUACAACAAUACUCUCAAGGUAGCUUGUCUGGAGUACGUUGUUGCAGAUAGUUCUCAUAGAAUCUUCGUACGAAGGCAAUGGGUUUACAAAUUCUCCUGCAAUGGAUUCUACUGCAGGUAGGGUAUGAUCCAGAGAUUGGGUCAUACCCAAGCUGGCUCAUGUCACAGCCAUACUCACACAUGUUGCCUUCUUCCAUCAGAGCACCUGGAGUUCCCAUUGGCCCAAUCAAAGAAGAUGUACGCUCACAAUACGGUAAAGGAACAUAUUUUCUGUAAUAUCACUCCUAUGAUAUGUAUUUAUCAAUAAUAUUAUUACUACUACUUCAACGUAAACGUCUGGCUUAUUAGCAGGCUUUUCCAAUGACUGCGUGAUCUGUACUGGGACGACCGACAGCAUCGCUGCCUUUCUUGCAGCACGAACCACUGAUCCAGGAAAAGCUGUGAGUUCCACUUCCACCGUACAAAUCUAAUAAGCACAACAACUUCUUGAAAGAAAUCGAUGGUUGUACCAACCUCUAGUACUAAUUGAACCAUGUAACUGAUCGAUCAGGUGACGUCGUUGGGUUCAACUCUUGCAAUCAAGCUCGUCAGCAGAGUCCGCGUGGAAGACGCAAGGUUCGGCGUCUACAGCCACCGGAUGGACGACCAGUGGCUCGUCGGCGGGGCGUCCAACAGCGGGGGUGUGGUGCUCCGGCAACUCUUCAGCGACGACCAGCUUGUGACGCUGAGCAGGGACAUCGACCCGUCAUCUCCUUCCCCUCAUGACUACUAUCCUCUGCCCAAGAGCGGCGAGAGGUUCCCUGUCUCCGACCCCGACAUGGAGCCAAGGCUGGAGCCUCGACCCGACAGCGAUGCCGAGUACUUGCAUGGCAUAUUGGAAUCCAUGGCGCGGAUCGAGGUCGUUAAUUAACUAACUCACACGUGUUUGAUAACCAGUAGCACUCUUUCGAGGAAGAUAAACCAGGAGUAGCAUCUACAAACUGAAGUGGGUGCUGAAAUGUUGCUGAAUAUAUAUGGAUGCAGGCCCGUGGGUAUAAACUGCUGAAGGAGCUCGGCGCUACGCCGGUGGAGGAGGUCUUUACGUCAGGGGGAGGUGCGCAGAAUGAGAAGUGGACGGCGAUCCGGGAGAGAGUGCUUGGGGUGCCUGUUCGGAAGGCAGAGCAGACAGAGGCGGCGUACGGAGCUGCAUUGCUAGCACUGAGGGGUGCUACCACGGGCAAGUGAGCACACUCAGGGGUGCCAUUUUCUUUUGAAUCCCAGCAGAACCAAGUGUUGAGUUCGAUAUACCCCCUUUUUUAUACGAGUAAAAAAGCCUACAAAAAUAGCUCGGCCAACCAUUGCAAUCCUUGUAAAUUCAAAGUGCAAUAAAUAGGAUGUUCUCUGGUCUUCCAAGCUUAUUUGUUGCUUUACUGACAUUAUUAUGAAAGUAAUGAACAGUGUGUUAUGAACUAUGUAGCCAAGAUAACAUUUUGUUUCUCACCCAAUGGUUUAUUAAUUUCUUGGACGGAUUUCAUCAUCACAGUAAUAAGGGCAUAACAAUGUAUCAAGCGCCUGCGCGGGAAGUAAGAAAGAAACUAUGCUGGGUGUUGAGCAGCAUAAUUCUAGCCAGAAACUAAACGAAUUGUGCUGGCCAACCAGAAAGUCGCCACAUGAUCAGAACAUGUUGGUCGCAAAUGAAGUUUCAUAAAUCAAGUCUAUGGUGCAGAACUAGAUCAAGAUACUGCAACUCCGCACCUGACCGACCAAUUAAUUGUUACCAGAUCACAAUAACCUUGUCAUAUUAAGUUAAACUUAGGAACGCCACUGAAAGGAACAUGCGUCAAUAUUUCUGCGCUGAUAAAUACAACUUGAAAAGCUAAUCUAAAAGCAGCAGAGGGGAAGUCCGGAGGCGUAACCUUGAUGACGACGACGAAGAAGAAGAAGAAGAAUCAUAUCCAUCUAUGAUCUAUUCUCUGCACAGCCCACCAAGUUCUGAACCAACCACACAGACCAAGGAUCAAACACUUGGUGUGCACUAACAAACAUGCUCAAUGGAGAAAUAACUAGAAAGAAAGCAUAGGGGGUAGAAAUUCGAACCAAGAAAGGAUUAAGACGAAAUCAAGAAGGGUUUACCCUGUGUUACCAAGAAGGGUUUGAAUGCGGGCGGCCAUUGGUCAAAUUUUCCGCCCCAAAUUCCUAAACAGGGCACACCUCCUCUGCCCUCGAUGGCGGAAUCGUUGGAUGAGGAGGGAGGACGGGCAGGGGGAUGCUGUUUCGACAUGGAUGGAUCUGUUAAUGGUUGAGACUGAAAAUUGAAAUAGAUGGUUGGCUAGCAGCGAGAGAACAUGGAUGAAGGUGCUGUGCAGGGAUAGUUCGGGGUCGAGCAAGGGUCAUUUUUCUUUGAGUGACUUAAAAAAUAAGUUACCUUUCAAUAAAUAAGUUGCCUCUCACCAACUUCAAAAAAAAAAAAAAGUUUCUCCCCUGGCGGCGACGUCUAGGGUUCUUUUCCCCUGAUGGCGACGUCUAGGGUUCGACGGGAAUCCCAACUAAGUGGAAUUCUCUGUACAACACUACCUCGGAUGGGUGGUCACGGGUCUUCAUAUAACAGCGGGGAGAGAGGCUUACCCUUGUGCUAGGGUUGGAAGUCGCCGCCUCAUGGAGACGUCAGGAUCUAAAUCUUCAGCGAACAACGCGACGAUGGCGGAAAACUCGGUGGGGGUGGAUGAUCUGAUUGGGAAGCUGAAUCCGCAGGAGAGAGAGGAAGAUGAUCUUAACUUUGAUGAAGAAUUCUCAUAUGAGGUUGGGGAGGCGGAGUUCAUGGCAAUUGCCAGGGUUCAUACCAAUAAACCCUUUUCAAGGGGAGCUUUUUAUGAGCAUAUGCGCAUGACUUGGAGUCUGGCUCAGGGCGUCUCUUUCAGUGCGCUGGGUGAGAACCUCUUUUCGAUCACCGUGAACUGUCUAGGCGAAUGGAAGCGAAUCACAUAAGAAGGGCCAUGGCUCUUUCGGGACCAUGGUGUCCUGAUAGAGAGCUAUGAUGCACUAGUAAAAAAAUGGGUCUUUCGGCCGAAGCCGAAAACCACAUUAGCCACGGUUCAAACUAAAACCGGGACCAAUGCCAGACAUUGGUCCCGGUUCAGUUUGCCAGGGCAUUGGUCCCGGUUCGGUUCAUCUUAUUAGUCCUGGUUCGGGGUAAAAACCGGGACUAAAGAUCCAGCGACUACCAGGUGGUGUGCCACGGAGCAUUAGUCCCGGUUUUUGGCCAGAACCGGGAUUAAAUGAUAGGCUAUUAGUCCCGGUUUUUGUCUAAAACCGGGACUAAAGUUCUGCCUAUAUAUACUCUUGUCCCUGCCACCCUCUCCUCUGUUUUUUCGCUGUUGAGGUGUGCAUGCCAUGCUUUUGUCACCCUUCUAGUUCAUGCACAUGAGAUGUUCGAUGAAUGCCCGAGCCACACUACUUAAGCUUUCUCCUCUCCAAGCUCGACCUCCAAGCUCCAUUUUCCUCAAUAUUUGUCUAGGUUUGGCCGUGCACCAACUACACAAGUGUCCCGUGUCCGUCCUCACCGUUGUCGAUCGCCCGCGCCGAUCUCGUCGCGAGCACCACCGUGGUGAGCCUCUUGUUCUUGUCUUAUUUUUAAAACAAAAAAUUUCUUACUUGUAUGAUUUAGAUAGAUACUUGUAUAAAUUACUUACUUUAAUUAUUUUUUUGUUAUUAUAUAGUGCGAUGGUUUUGGUAUCCGCCUCCGUCGGCCCUCGCCCUGUCUAUGAUUCGGAUGUGGUAUAUAUUAUCUUUUAUAACUAUUUGUUUUAUUUAGUGUUUAUGACAAUUAUGACGACCAACGUGACAUAAAUUUUUUAAUAUAGGAGGUAUGUCAACUGGAAAUUCCAACCCACAUAAAAAUUCUGGUCGAGAAGUUAAAUUUGGUUGAAAAAGAAAACAAUUACUUGAAAAAAUAAAAAAUAAUUGAGGAGAAGAAUAUGGAACUAGAGUUGCAUGUUGUCGAUGUCGUCGAUGAUCGCAAGAUGAAGAUGGAUGCGAUGCGGUUGAAGAUGGACGCAAUGCGCUUGAAAAUGGAUGAAAUGUGCUUGAAGAUUAGGAAUAUUAGAAAAUAUGCCAUUGAUAAAGAGGCUUGGUAUCAUUAUGUUGUUGGGUCAAUUGUUACCUUAGUUGUGAUUUUGAUCGCAUUUGUUGUUGCAUUUAAAUGUUUUACAUAGUUGUCUGUUGUUUUAUGAGAGAACUUUAUGUAUUUAUUUUUUCAAUAAUAACAUUUGAUCACUACUGUGCUUUGGUUUUAAUGUUAUGAUGAACUUGUAUUAAUUUGGUCAUUUCUCUAUUCAUGAUGUUUUGCAAUGUUUUUUUAUAUACUUAAUUUCAUAAUACAGAUAAACCGCCAAUUGAUGUACGGUGACUAAUGCCCGAGUCACACUUAAGUUCACACAAAAUGGUAUCCUCUAUCGAGGUUAGCAACCUUAUCCUUUUCAUCUGUAAUUGAUACAAAAAUAUUGCAUGUAUUAAUGUACGAUGGUCAUUUCACUAUUCAUGUAUGAUGCCAGAUCGAUGCACGGAAGCGAUGGAUGUACGGCGAACGACGUGGUUCCGGAUUUAUUGCAGGGCUGCAUAAAUUUAUCGAUGUGGCUGAGGCAAACAGAGUGGAUAAUUUUAUGCCUUGUCUAUGUGUUGGCUGUCGAAACGUGAAGGAGUACUCUAGCUCAAAAAACUUUCAUCUCCACUUGCUUCAGAGAGGUUUCAGGCCCACAUAUUAUUGUUGGACCAUGCACGGAGAAAGAGGGGUUAGGAUGGAAGACAAUGAAGAAGAAGAUGAUGAUGACGACUAUCCUAUGUUCACUGAAGAAUACGGUGAUACUACAAUAAAAGACAAUGAAGAAGAAGGAGUUGAAGAACAACCGGCAUCAGAUGAGCCCGUUGAUGGUCUUGGUCGGAUCAUUUAUGAUGCAAAGAGAGAAAGCAAUACAGAAAAGAAGAAGCUGAAAUUGGAGGCCAUGCUAAUGGAUCAUAAAAAGUUGUUGUACCCAAAUUGAGAACACUACAAGAAAUAUGCUAAUACAUGACGCUAUUUUUUCGUCGCUACAUCGUCACGGUUUUUAUUUUGCGACAAUCUUACGACAAAAAACCAAGCGUCAAAAACUGACAGCAGCGACGUUUUGUUCAAUAUCGUCGUAACUUUUACGACGAUUCCUGGAUCAUCGUCACCUUUACGACGAUCCUAAAUCGUCGCUGGCAAUCUAACCCAAUCCUACGUGGCAAAAUUACGACGAAAUCAAAACGUCAUGGCGAAAAUCAGCCCAACCCAUUUCAAUUGAUCACAUGGGCUGGUUUUAUAUUUCGGGCUUCUUAUUGGGCUUCUUUUGAGGCCUUAGCCUAUUUACAGCCACUUCUAGUAUUUUUUCGAUUUUUUUGUAUCUUUAUAAUUUGGGCCCUCGCCUUUUAGUUCCCAAAUACAUUUGGUCCAGUUUCAGUUUGGCCUUUUCUCAUUUUAAAUUCAGCAACAUUUUUUUCUUUUAUGCUGUUAAUGGAUCUAUAAAUAAUAGCCCAUACAACUUUCAAGCCCAUACACAUAUAUCUCAAGCAUCUCUAAAUGACAGCCUACACCACAAAGUUUGAAGCACAUUUCAAGAUCUGAUAAUAUAUAGCCAUAAUCUGUAGCACAACCAAAAUCUGCUACCUAACCUGUAGCACAAUCUGGUACAAAAUUACACAAUCAAGUGCACAAAAUCUUCUACCAAACCAAGUGCUAUCACAAAAUCUGCUACCAAACCAAGUGCUAUCACAAAAUUUGUUAUCAAGUGCACAAAAACUGCUACCAAAAUCUGUUUUGCUUGAUGGGUGAUGCUUGGUUAGAACUUCCGCAACAACUGAAAAGAAGACUUUCGCUCUUCGCCUUCUUGUACAGGAGCAGUCAUCUUUUCUUCCAUCUCAGUCUGAAAGAUAAUGGAUGCAUUAAGAAACAGUUUGGAUCCAUGAGAAAGAAAGUAAAAUAAACACACAAUAAUGAGGAAAGCACCACCAUCAGGUAAGAGAGCAAGUAAAUACUCUAUUCAUAUAAGUAAACUAUGCACUACAUGUGAUGCUAAAUAUGAUUUGCACAUUUUACUGGACACGCUAUUUCACCACUAAGAAAGAGUUCUGGGUAUCAAACUUUCAGAUCAUCAUAAAAAACUACGGCACAACAAGAGUAGCACCACUAAGAAAGAGUUCUGGGUAUCAAACUUUCAGAUCAUCAUAAAAAACUACGGCACAACAAGAGUAGCAGAUAGCUGAUUUGUGAUAUCAGGUUUAAAAAGCUCAAUUUUAAAACAUCAAAUGUAUUAGAAUAAUCAUAUGAAUCAUCAUUUGCUCAGCCCAUCUACCAAAACACACAACAACCAUCCAAAGGGGAAAACUGUCACACCUGACCAACGAGGCAUCCAGCCGAGUACAAAUGAAACAAAGUUCAAUUUUUUCAACCUGUUUUCAAUAAUUAGAAAAUACAAAUAGCACUUUUCCAGACAGUUAACAAUACGAACAGCAAAAAAAUAUACAAACAACAUCACUUUGUACGAUUGCUAGUGAUUACCAUUUUUUUAAUAAGUGAACAAGCAGUUUACCAGUGUACAAACAUCGGAGUUUGGAAGCUUUUUUACUAAUGAGAUAUUCAAGCUGUAGACUAUGUUCAAACAAGGACAAUUUUCCAGUCAAUUAACAAACAAAAGUAGUUUUUCAACCAAGACAACCAACAGUUUUCAGUGUACAAACAACAGUGAGUUAACAAACAACAACACCUUUCAUGUAUACCUCCAAUGCAUAAAAGUAAGCAGAGAUAAGCUAGAGUUUAUGCAAAACAAUGAACUAAAAAAUUAACAUGUCAGAUCACAUAUAAUGUUGUUUCAAGCGCUCUGGCAGCCCGACAGCCCCUCCCCGGUGGCCUCCUCUCCGCCGGCCAACCCCAGCCUCCACAUCGACUCUGCGAAAACACAAAAGGCCACUGUUACUCUAAAGUCGAAAAUAUAGUUAAGGAAAUAAAAUAGCAUAGUAUACUAGAAGAAAUCAAAAAAAUCAAUAGAAAACAUGGACUAGAACCCUAGGUGUGUUAUAAACAAAGAAAAUUAACAGUUUUUCUUCCUAGCCAGUGAAAGUGGCCCGCCCUCAUCUAUUAUAUACUUAAAUGAUAGAAAACGAACGAUGGUGAUUUGACACUUUAAAAGUAAGAUGUAUCAACGGUGAGGAUCAAAGGACACACAUUUAUUUUAUUACACAUCAAGGAAGGAGAGGGAUAUCUACUUUUUUAGGACACGCGACAUGGUAAAUCAUGGCUACACAUAUAUCUACGUUCGUUCAUUUAGGAAAGAAACUUGGAGUUGUAACGUAGCUACACACGAUUAAAAAAAGCAUAACUGCACACAUGCCCGUGUCUGACUAGGACUAGAGUCAAAAUAGCUAGAGUUAUAAACAAUACACAUAUUGUAAGAAACUAGCAAAAGGGCCCGUGCGUUGCAACCAGAGAAAAAAAACACCAUUUUUUAUGACGAUGACCACAUUAUGUUCAUAUCUCAUCGUAUGAUUUCGAAAAUUUGUUCACAAAUACAAGAAAAUAUUUCUUAUUUUAAUUUUAUUCACAAUUCACAAGUUGAAACAAUGUUCAUAUUUUAUAAAAAAUAUCAUGGUUGUCAAAAAACAUGGUAACUCAAAGAUUUAUUCUGAAUUUUAAGAAACAUUUUUUAAAAUAUACUAUAAUAUUCCGAUCCACCCCGACAAUUUAUUCUUCAAAAUUCACCCUGGUAUAUAAUCGGAAAGACUCAUAAGCAUUACUGUUAAACUACAUACAUUCGAUCAUUCGUGAACAUUUUUACAAAUUUAGGAACCUUUUAAAAAUCAAGAACAUGUUUUACUAUUUAUAAACAUUUUUUAAAAAUUCCAAACAAUAUUUGAUAUUACGAACUAUUUUCAAGUAUUUUCUUACGAGUUGGCGAAUAAUUCACUUUUUGAAUUAUCAAAAAAAAAUUUUAAUUGCAGUAAAGAAAUUGCUCAAAAUGAUGGACUUUUUUUGAUUCACGAAUGUUUUCUCAAAAAUUAUGAUUUUUUUAAUAUACAAACAUUUUUACAGAAAACCCGAACAAAUUUUGAAUUCGCAAACAUUUUAUGUUUCAUCAGAAUUUUAUGUAUAUAAAUUUUUUUGAAUUUCGAAUUUUUUAUUUAUUUAUUUUAAUUAGAAAAGUAAAAGGGAACAGAUAAAUAAUAAUUCAAAAAUAACCCCGCCAAUGGGCUGGCUCAAAGGGGCGUUCUGUUUCUUCUCCAGCUGGCAGAGCGUAGUAUAGCUCGUUCCUAUGCUUGGGCCGGCCCAUGCGACGAUUCCCUGUAAAAUGUUUUUUAUAACUUAUAGGUGGCAUUGGUGAGUAAUUUUAAACAAUUUUAAAGGUAAUUUUAAUGACGUACCACAGAAGCAAUAAGUGCUUUAUUAAUAGGUAAAGAUAUACGUCAUGCACGUUGCAUGUUGGAAACAAAUCGUGUCCAUGUACGCAUGCAUUCCUUUUUCAAUGGGUGCGUAUGCAUGCCUUGCAUGGCUGUGCAAAAUCGAUUAGCUAUGUAUAUAUAUUUGUUUUAUGUAGACUACAUAUUUUCUCUCUUGAUUAUAUAAUGAGUCCAGUUGUAAAUGAUAAUAGUUUAAAAUUAAAUAUAAAAGGCAUAUAUGUAUAGUAUAUUGAGUUGCGCCACAAUCGGACAAAACAGAAGUCCAUCUGAUUUAAUGCGCAAUGCUAUAUAACAAGUGUGCAGAUUUACUGAUGAACCUUAAUUAGUUGUACGCACAUAUGCCAUAGAAUUGGGAAGUCAGGUUCAUACAUGCAACUCAAGCAUAGGAUUCGCCAGACUUCUUAUAUUGUGAGAUAAAAAUAGUAUCUUGGAAACAAUGAUCAUCUGAUUUCAGAAUAUGAAAAAUAUUUAUUUAUAGUAUAUGAAAUAGAAAUUUAGUACUCCCCUGUGUCAAAAUAUAAGUUUUUUUUGGUCUAGAUGGAGACAAAAAAAAUGUCUUACGUUUCAAGGUAGAAGGAGUAGUUUAUGUGUAACACAUAAAAUAUCGAAACUAUAUCUUAGAAAAUAAAGAGAAAAACACCAACAUACGUAAAUAUGCACAAACACUGUCACAUAUUAAGAGUCUAAUAAAUAGUAUUUUCAUCUGUCUAAGUUAUUUUAAAUGUCUCGCCAUUAGUGGAAACACACUCUCUAAUGGAAUGAAUCAUCUACCUUAAUCAGAUAUAAAGGAAAAUCUAGAGUUUGAUCCACUAAUUAAGAUUAAAAACACCUCUACUAGCUGUACGACAUAUGUGUUUUCCUCACAUGUUAAAAUAUUGUUUUCGAGACAUUGGUUAUAUAUCAGUCUUGGCAAUUUUCAAUAAAAAUACAAAGUAUGAAGAUAGUCUGAUUGAAACGAGAAGACACGAAAAUGCAUAUAGGCGCAUCCAAUCGUAAAUAAGAAACAUAAUUGUAAUAUAUAUAUAACACAGUGACAAGACAAAAAUAUAAAUAAUUGUAAAGCUUAGGUAGUAUAAGUCAUUAGUAUAUGCAAAACAUAUAUUUAGAACAAAAACUUUUAGAACAUUUGUUGGUCAAAAUAUAACACAUAUAAGAAGAUAAAUGAAAAUGGAAAGGGCAAAAUAUUAGUAUGAAAUUAUAUGGUUUUACAUGGUGACUCUCGGAGUCCUCCGCGCAAUGUUGGCAUGUUGUGACACAGAAAUACUUUUACUAAAGACCAACUAUAAUUGAUUGGAUAUUUCAUUAAAAAAUCAACUUAUGAUUCUACUAGAGGUACAUUUAAGUAUAUUAAUUUAUAUUCAAAGUAAUAUUUUGUAAUAAUGUAAACACAACCGCAAGUUAAAUGAAAUAAUAUACGAACACACCUCAAAUUGAUAUCAUUGGAAAAAGUAAUACGAAUGCAUAGAAAAUAUGUAGCAAAUCUAGCCGCGCAAAUGCACGGGACACACCGACUAGUUCUGUAUGGAAACAGUAACCAUAACAUCAAAAAAAUGUUAAGAUAUCUGAAAUUGCAAAAUCAAAUAUUGGUUGAAAUAGCGAGAACUCUGAUGUGGGAACAAUGGUAUUCCUCUUCUAUUGGCUAAGUUCUUAUAGCAUUUCGGUUAUAAAUGAGAGAGGGCAGUGACCAAGUAGUUGUACAAAGUCCUAUUAUAUUUGACAAAGCUCAAGUAACAUUCUAGGAUGCUUUGCUUCAUUUACCAAUUGAUAUAAGUGGAGAAAAUAUAAGCAUACAAGAUAUCAAUAUUUAUGUUUUGUAGGCACAUUAGUAGUAGUACUACAUACCAAGACAUGAACAUAUCGAAGUGCAUUAGAUUGGAUAGGUACUUUGCCAAAGUAAUUUUGACAUGCCAAUUACCGUGUUCAUCUCUCUGGCACCAAACUGUUCGCCGUUGCGCACCACUAGUGGCGAUAAGUUGUUGCCGGUCCUUGCAUUGAACUUGGUGUCAGUCCUCAAUUCAGAGGGUGCACAAGUCUGCAAAAUGUACAAUUACAUAUUAGAAUUGUUGUCUAGAAUACCCGAAUGGCUUAAAAGGGACAUGAUUAGUUCCAAAGAAUGGGUGAAAGGGAAACUCACAUAGAACACGCAGGAAGGCGCCUCCUGCAAAAUUUACAUGUGGUAUAUGUUUAGAACUCUUGUCCAGAAUAACCAAACAGCUUAAUAAAAGCGACAUGGAUUAGUUCCAGAGAAUGGGUGAAAGGGCAACUCACAUCAAACACGUCGAAAGCCCCCCUUUGCAAAAUUUACAAGUAUAUAUGUUAGAAGAGAACAUGUUGUCUAGGAUAACAGUAUUAUUAUGGAUUAAAAGUGACAUGGAUUAGUUCAGGGAUCCCUCCUCAACCCUUUGGGCCUUGUUCUGUUAACCAUCUUCCAAGGCCAAGGGAAUUAAGUAGGGUUGUAGGGGGUUGAUUUUGAUUCCCCCUUAGCCCUCAACCUCAACCCCCUUGGACCACCUCCGAACAGAACAAGGCCUUGACAACAUCAACCGAGCAGAUUACCACAAGUAUACAGGUAAAAAAGAGUAGUCUAGCUUUCUCCAACAUCUAGUUUCGCAGAUCAAAGAUCACACUGAAGAACAAGGCCCAAAGAGAGAAUAUGUUCCAAAGUUUGUUGAAUCUAAUCCAACCCAAACCACGAAAAAGAAGAGAGAAUAUGAAGAAACAUACCAUCUCCAGCACUUCCUCUUCCAUUUGCAGCGCUUCCUUCAGCGGCCACUCCUGCAAGUCGCCUCCGGUCUCUGUUGCCGCCGCCGCCGCCACCAUGGUCAGGACUCAGGGUAGCGUUUUGCGCACGCGUGGUGUGGGUGUGUGCGUGCGCGGGUGCGGGUGUGUGCGGCAACUUCAUUCCCUGUUUAACUGACAAAAAGAAGUUUGUUAGCCACAACUUAGUUGUUGAAUAUUAGUACAUCAGCUCAGUUUUCCUGGCUCCGCGUGAAUGCAAACAUCUAGAGGCAACAAACAUUAUCUUCUACUCCAGCUCAUACAUACGAAUGCAAUCGCAAAAGGUUACGAAUCAAACUAUGUACAGUAGUAGAAGCAAACACACAGCAACCACGCACUGCACCGUACCAAGCAUCUAUCCAUAGAUCAGAAUCAGAUCCCCAAACAAAACCCCAUCCAUCAUGGCGUCCCUAGGAUAACCAACCACUACAAAUCUACUGUACUACUUAUAUAGUCGAGUUGCUGCUCGAGAGAAAAAAGAAGGCACAAAUGAACACUCCCGACCCCCUCCUUAAUCAUGAACAAGAACGAACAACCCGACGACGGAAUCGACGUCGGUGGCGAGAGGAUUCUGGGACCGGCAACGCGCUGGGGCCAGGAGCGCGUCAUCCCCGUCGGCAGUCGGCAAACUUGUGCAAACCCUAGACGAAUCUGGGCUCCUAGCGGCGCCCGCAUAAGGCGAUGGGUGCUGCGGAGAGGGGAUUUGGAAAGGUUUGGAGAACUUACAGGCAGGAGGAGGAGGAGGAGGACAGGUGGUGGUGGCGGCGUUCCGAGCGGACCGGCGAGGGCUCGGCCAAGGAACCGCGAAGGCCGAGCAAGGCGCAUCAGAUCUGGGUGAGAAGAUAGAUGAUGACCCACAAGUAUAAGGGAUCUAUCGUAGUCCUUUCGAUAAGUAAGAGUGUCGAACCCAACGAGGAGCAGAAGGAUCUGACAAGUGGUUUUCAGCAAGGUAAUAUCUGCAAGCACUGAAAUUAUCGGUAACAAGUAGUUGUGUGGUGAGAUGAUUCGUAGCAAGUAGCAAGUAACAAAAGUAACAACGAUGCAGUGAUAACCCACAAGUAUAGGGGAUCACAACAGUUUUCGGGGGUAGAGUAUUCAAACCAAAUUUAUUGAUUCGACUCAAGGGAAAGCGAAAGAAUAUUCUCAAGUAUUAGCAGUUGAGUUGUCAAUUCAACCACACCUGAAAGAUUUAGUAUCUGCAGCAAAGUAUCAGUAGCAAGGUAGUGUGAUAGCAAUAGUAGCAACAGUAACCAGUAGCAGCAAGGUGACAGCAGUAGUAGGAAAGUAACAGUAGUAGCAACAGAGUAACAGUAGCAGCAGUGACAGCAGUAGCGGCAAAGUAACGUAGCAAGGACCAGUAGGAAAAGACUCGUAGGCAUUGGAUCGGUGAUGGAUGAUUAUGUCGGAUGCUAUUCAUCAUGUAACAGUUAACACGGAGAGAUAAGUAACUAGCUCCAGUUCGUCAAUCUAAUGUAGGCAUGUAUUCCGUAUGUAGUCAUACAUGCUUAGGGAAAAGAACUUGCAUGACAUGUAUUGUCCAUCCCUCCCGUGGCAGCGGGGUCCUAAUGGAAACUACGGGAUAUUAAGGUUCUCCUUUUAAUAAAGAACCGGACCAACGCAUUAACACUUGGUGAAUACAUGAACUCCUCAUACUAUGGUCAUCUCCGGGAGUGGUUCCGGCUAUUGUCACUCUAGGGUUGUCGGGUCAUAACACAUAGUAGGUGACUAUAACUUGGAAGAUAGGAUCAAGAACACACAUAUAUUGGCGACAACAUAAUAGGUUCAGAUCUGAAAUCAUGGCACUCGGACCCUAGUGAGAAGCAUUAAGCAUGGCAAAGUAGUAGCAACAUCAAUCUCAGAACAUAGUGGAUACUAGGGAUCAAUCCCCGUCAAAACUAACUCGAUUACAUGAUAGAUCUCAUCCAACCCAUCACCGUCUAGCAAGCCUACGACGAGAUUACUCAUGAACGGUGAAGAGCAUCAUGGAAGGUUGGUGAUGACGAUGGCGACGAUCUCCCUUGUGUGGUGCCCAGAACGGACUCCAGAUGUGCCCUCGAGAUGAAGAACAGGAGGUGGCGGCGCCUCCGCAUCGUAAAACACGAUGAACUCUUCUCCUUGAUUUUUUUUCCGGGUGAGACGGACUAAAUAGAGCUGAGAUUGGAGGCGGUGGAGCAUUGUGGGCCCCACAAGCCUGCCAGGCGCGGCCAGGGGGCGCCUGGUGGGCUUGUGGGCUCCACGCUCCACUUCCUCUGCUAAUUCUUGCGCCAGUAUUUUUCAUAAAUUCCAGAAAAAUUCUCAGUAAAUUUUCAGGUCAUCCCGAGAACUUUUAUUUCAUCUCAAAAACAACACCAUGGCAAUUCUGCUGAAAACAACGGUAGUCCGGGUUAGUUCCAUUCAAAUCAUGCAAAUUAGAGUCCAAAACAAGGGCAAAAGAGUUCAGAAAAGUAGAUACGUGGAGACGUAUCAACUCCCCCAAGCUUAAAGCCUUGCUUGUCCUCAAGCAAUUCAGUUGACAAACUGAAAGAGACAAAAGAAAAACUUUGACGAACUCUGUUUGAUCUUGUUGUUGCAACUAUGUCUAACUCACACUAUUAGAAAAGGCCUAUUAGUGGCGCACCCACUUUAGCUAUUAAUGGCGCACUAUGGGUGCGCCAUUAUUAUCACGCCACUACUAAUAAAUAGUAAUGGUGCACCCCUGGUGCGCCACUGUUAAUAUACAUAACAGUGGCACACCACCUGGUGCGCCAUUACUAUCCAAGACAAUAAUGGCGCACCACCUGGUGCGCCAUUACUAUCUCAGAUACUAAUGACGCACCAUCUGUAGGUGCGCCACUACUAUGAAUAUUAGAUUUUUUUUUCUUUUCUGAUAUUUAUACAUGUUAAAAUAUACAUAAUAGCACAAAAUAUAAAUAGCACAAUAUAUAUAUAUAUAUAUAAACAUCAGAUUUAUCGAAUACAAUAGAAUAUUAGUCUCCGAAUACAAUUCAUCAUAUUAGUCUCCGAAUUCAAAACACGGAACAAAGUUAGAACAUUACAAGUCUCGCGAGUAGCGAGUUUGUCUUCACACAUUACAAGUCGAUAUCUAAACUACCAUCACAUAGAAGAGGGUUGCGGUCACGAUGAGCAUGAUCGCAAUGAAACUGAUCUUCAUCCGAUUCCUCCUCCGCUCCCUCCUCUCUCCCGCUAGAUAGCGCGCGUAUCUACCUUCCGCCUCCGCCCUAGUGGUGUACCCUUUGUAACUGUUACCGCUGAAACGGUGAACCUGUCUCCGACACUCCUCCCAGUCGUCGUAGACUCCGGGAACCUCACCCUUGUACACGACAUACGGCGGCAUCUCUAUGCACUAGACAAACAAAAGCAACACAUUAAUAGCACGAUUCAUGGUCCUACUAAUAAAUAGCAUCGACUACACAUAUAAGUUCAACGACUGUCCAAACUAAAGAGACAUACAAGUUCAUUAAAGUUUAAUUACAACAUAGCAUCAGUACUUUCGACUCGACUCAGGGACCGGAGCGUGGAUGAAGCCGCCGUCUUUCAUGAUGGUCAUGAAUGUGCGGUCGUUGUCAGCCUGCAUUUGUAGCGUUGUGUCAAUAUCACUCUUGGAUGGUGGACAGUUUAGGUAGAACUGCCUCGAUCUAGCAAGGACAUCUUGAUGGAUGAUUUCUGCCAACUCCGACUGGAUGCAAACGAAUUCUUGUCUGAUGUCCUCGUCCUAGAUUGCCGACAAGCGUGCGGCCCAAUCUUUGAGCUCAUUUUGUAGCAUACGGUGAUGCUGGUCCCGUACGAUCGCCCUCAUGUGAUGGAGGCCGUAGUAGGCAUCCUUCUGACUGCCAGGCGGCUUCUUGACGCAAGGGAACGUCAUUACGUGGUUGAACACGUGCUUGCCAUACCUAAGAAUUGGCCUCCUGAAGGUGCCUCCAGAUUUGGCGUAGCCGGGGAGGACAUCAUCAAGAAGUUCUUGAUAUUUGUGUAGUCUUUCUUCGACUGACGGACCGAGUCGAAAUACGUGGCCAUGGAAUAUUUUGGUCUUAAGAGGAUGAGUGUGCAAUGUGUGUCACUGCAAAAAACACGGAAUGUUAGAAAAAAAAGAACGAUCGAAAUCUAAGACAUCAUAUGUUACGGGGCGAUGAGGGGAUGACUUACUCAGAAAAGUAAGGCACGAGGAAGUUAUACUUAUCUGCGUUCGUUAGAAUGACGCCUUCGAGGUAUGAACUCGCGACUUGCUAGUCCCCAGCGCCGUCCAAGAGCUUGGCACGCAUGUAGAAGGGGUCGACUAUCACGAUGUCCGGGGUCUUGUCUCUAAUGAUCCGCAUCUCCAUACUGAGAGAAAAUGGCCGAAUUAAGGUGUAGUGCAGCGGAUAAAGGUUAAGCAUAGCGAAGAUGUCAUCAAACCGCAGGACGAUCAUACGCCCGAUGUUGCUAUCGACAAAUCCCUUGCCCUCUGGCACCUUGGCCACGAAAACCGGGUAUGCCCCAUCAUUCUUGGAGAGACGCCGCUUCUCCAUAUAAAGAACCGCGUCAUGCAGACUCCUCAUAGCACCAGUUACAGCAUUGAGCAUAUUAUUCGGUAGCAUCGGCCUAUCCGCCACAUGCACCCUCCUCUAAAUAUCCUUAGAUAUUGGUGGCCCGUCCUGAGCACGGAUCGUACUCGGUGCUGGCUGGCUCGCACCCUUGUUAGUUUUUCUUUUUCGUCCCUUCAGCUUCUUCUGCUGUAAUGGGAUCGAGUUCUGCUCAGAGACCACCUUCUUGAGUGUGUUGGGGCUGAUAAUAUUUCGCACCUUGGCUAUUUGAGUCUCGGUGAAGGCAGGAGCUGGAGGCGUCUCCUGAGAACUGAAGAGCCGACGCCUGUUGAAAUUGGGUUUCUCUGUGGUACCAGCUAGAUCGCCAUCGUCUUUUGCAUGGUUGGGUUCUUGAGAAGGAGGCCCGAACAAGGCGUCAUCGUCACCGUACCCAUGUUCGUUGAUGUACUUAUCGACGUUGGAAAUUGUAUCGUCGUUGUCGUCCGGAUCCUGUGCCAUAUGCAUGUCCGGAUCAGCUGACGGCGGUAGCAUUGCGGCGGUCUUGCCAUGGCUUGGCGCCGGCACAACUGGCGGUGUUGUUUGUGGGGUGGUGUCCCCCGCCCCCAAACGAAUCUGGCUCUUCGGCCAAAUCCUGGACCAGUUUAAGCAGGCGCUGAGGGUCAUCACAUCAUCUUCGUCGACCCAACGGGUCGAUACGGAGGUAAGAAGUCGUCCCAGCCCCGCAGCACCCGAACCAGUUGAACCGUAUACACGGUGGGUGGCGUCGGAUUACCGUGGAACACGCGGUUGCCCGGUACAAUGAUUUUGGCCUUGGCGACAUCGAUCAACUCGCCGUCCACGAAGUGCAGGAGAGUGCAUGGAACGUUGGCGGCGCCCUGUAAAAACAUGUAGGGCGUCAGGGAUGCCCAGUCAAAAAGGCAAGGAGAUGAAGUCACCGUCCGAGGUUUAUAGUUAUCGUGAUGGCGUCGAGCUCGGCUAAUGUGGAGGCACCGCCAACAACAGGCGUGCAAGUGACGGAGGGGCCGCUUGAUGCCGAGGUGCCAGCCGACGUAUUCUUCCCACACACGGGUGCAUUAACCUCCAAUACCGGCGCCGAUGCCAAAGGCAGCUGUAAUGCGGCCUCCGCCGGAGACACCGAUGCUGGCGCAUUGUGCGAGUUGCUGCACAUGAAGCUGGGUAUCGGGGGCGGCCCCUGUUGGCCGCUCGCAAUCCACCCCCACAGCCCCUCAAGCAAGGAAGGCAUAAUGGAGGUGAUCGUCGCUCCAAGUUGGUCUCGCACUUGCUCUUGGACUAUCUCUAGAAUCCGCGCCACAUGUGCCUUGAGUUCUUUAACCUCGCGCUCCUGGUUUUCCGAGCUGGUCUUCCUGUCGUCUGGCCCAGCCUUAUAGUGUUCCGACCAUUUCGUGGACAAGCCUUCGCCGGCCACACGACCAGCCGACGACGGCUUACUGAGCUUAUCCUUGUGUUUCAUUACGUCCAACGCCCUAUUUAAAGUGCUGUCCCAAGGGGCAGACGGGGAGCUCGGAGACCCCGCGCUACUGCUUUCAGUUUCCUGCGGAAGGAACGUGAACCAUUUAGAAAUUUGGCUUCAUUAAUUAGAAUGCAACCAUAUGGAGCUAAUUACACGGGGAUGUAUUCCUUACCAGAACACGCUCAAGCUCCUUCACCUUCGGAUCCAUGGUAAGCUCCUUUGUUACCGGGUCCGCCUUGUACCUGGCCGUAACAUAGUUCUUGGUCUGCUUUUCAGGGUAUUUAUCGAAGAGGGGCGGCAGGCCUUGCUCGGUACGCUCCGCAUCCUCCUUGUGCCAUUUAGGUUCCGCCACUCUGUAACCGCCGGGACCGAGUUUGUGGACCCCUAAGUUCAAGUCCCGCACAUCUUUCCCCCACUGACUUGAUUCCGCGGAUGCGUCGCUCUCGCACUUGAUCUUGAACUCCUGGUAGUCAGCUUCACUGAUUGAAGGAUUUGUCUCCUUGAUCUUCUCAUAACUAUCACCUCUUAGAAUCCUUCUCUUUACCGAGGCUCUCAAAGUAGCCAGGGUCGUGCUCAUCUUUGUGAGGGCGGCACUGUUCACUUUAUUCCCUGCGAGGCGUGUGUUUGCGACGUCGCCGGGGAACUUGUAUCGUUUAUGCAACUUCGUGAAGAGGAGGUUGUGCAAAUUCGCUCGGCCUUGAUGCCUUAGGUUCUCGGUGUUGAUCGAGAUGGUGCUCCGGAGAAUGCACCCGAGUUGUCCCGCGUACCCACCGACUAAUUCUUUGGGCGCCGUUGGAUGCCCAUUGGAGGACACUUCAAUAAAUUCCUCACUGACAGUGUCGAGCACGUUCGGGCAUCAGUCCUUCCAUUGCUUCUUCGGUUGGCUGCCAUCUGUGCGUUCGCUGCCAUCAUCAGUGGUGGCAUCCCUGGCGGCAACAUCAGUGGUGUCAUCCCCGACGCCACUAGGGGUUGUGUAGUCGUGAUCGAUGUCUUCCGCGGCGUCCUCAUAGCGGUGAGGUUCUUCCUCGAGCUCCUGGGACAGCUCCCAGAAUUGCUUGCCCGAACCGUCGGCCUCAUCGUUGUUGUCCAUGUUCGCUCUAACUAGGAAAAAAGGCUACUAGAGUUAUUGCACGGGGUUGAAUCGGGCACCUUCUAGGUCAAGAAAAUUGGGCAUGACCUUUGCUAAUUUUCUUGACCUAGGAGUGCCCAAUUCUCAACCAAAACGGAAAUUAAUCUAUGUUUCAGGAGAAAGGGGUAACAAAUAUGAGUCAUUACAACCUUACUGCACAAGCAGGAUGCCAAAAAAUAGUAAGAUGGAAGAUUUAAAUACUUCAGAAAUAAAUUUAACAUAACCACUACAAUCAAAAGGCAUAAAUCAGUGAUCGACAUAAAAAAAUCAUUGUCCAAGUAAUAAAAUUCAUUCUUCAAAUAUUCCUAGACCCCGUUUGUAGACCCCGUUUUCUUGGUCUACGACGAAACAUACAAGGUGCAAAAAGAUUUGUUGUAUUAUGUUCUAGUAGUUGCCUAAUUCUGUCUCAUAGCAAUGCGGUGAAUGAAAAGUUGGCCCAAAUAACCUGAUAUGCUUUGCAAUGUGACAACCCCUUUUGGUUGUCUCCUGAAAACUAGAUGUCGUGACUAUUUCAGAAAAAGAAGAAGCAAACCUUAUAGAGAAUAACUAAAUUAUAUUCUACCAGAACAUCAACAACAUGCCAUUUGACUGAAAUCAGUUAUAUUUGGUUGACUAAACUCAAAUUCAGUGUGUGCACCGCUCUUGUUUAAUUUAUCGUAAUCCCCGGCCAUAUGUGUGUGCUAAUAAAUUCAGUGGUUUUUGAUUGACUGAAACCCAAUUCAAAAUUCAAUAUAUUCUACAUAGUCAUUGGUACUUCCACGGCCGCGAGGAGGCGCGCCGGUAGACGGAGAUGGACGGCUAGGGUUGCAGGGGGUGACACGGCAGCGGAAGUAAGAGGUGGCAGGAGGGGAGGACGGUGGGGAGAUGGGGAAGAGGGAGGGGCGGGGGUGCUCACCUCCGCAGCGGUGAUGGCCGCCUGAGCCGUCCGCGGCAGCGACGUGUGCGGGGGUGGCCGGGGCCUGGGGGCAGUGACGAGGAGGGCUCCGGUGGCUGACGAGGAGGGCGGCGGUGGCUGAUGAGGAGGGCGGCGGUGGCUGACGAGGAGGGCGGCGACGGUGGCUGAUGAGGGGAGAUGGGAGGGAGGGAGGGUUGCGGUUGGAGUGGAGAUGCGGGGGAGCUAGAGGCAAGUGCGGGGAGGGAUAGAACGAGGGAGGGUUAGCAAUGGCGCACCAUUUAGGGGUGCGCCAUAAGUGGCAUAUCAGUGACGCACCUUUUAGUGGUGCGCCAUAAGUGGGGAGGGAUAGCAAUGGCGCACCUUCUCCUGGUGCGCCAUUACUAACUUUUAUUUUUAUUUUUUUGGAUUUUUAGUUGCAUGUAGUAAUUUUGGUUAUCACUUUUUAGUUGCAUGUAAUAACCGAAAAGUAAUGGAAUAGCCUAAUGGUUUAGAAUUACAUGACAUGGUGCAAAGAUUUAGAAUUACAUGACAUGGUUGAAAUCAACUCACGUGAAAUAACAGUCAUCAAAGAUUGAGCUUGCCACUGACACACACACGCGGCCGACACGUCGUGAUUCGAUUUUAAUUAGCUAUCUUUUCACAAUGAUCUUGUUGCCCUUCUUUCUCGCGGUUGAAUAAUUUAGCCCCGGAACCCCUUGAAUUCUUCUCUUGAACGGACGUCCUUUAGGUUGGGUGGUCCUGCUUCUUCUUGUGUUGUCUGAUACUUCAUCGUCGUCGUCAUCUUCCAUCUUCGGGUCGCCGUACUUUUCGAAGUCUUGAUCAUUGGUGACUCCAUCCAUUCCGAUGAUGUUCCUUUUGCCUCUCCUCACGACAACACGACUGGGAUUUGACGGGUCGGUAAUGAAGACGCAUUGGUCCACUUGGCAAGCCAGUACCCAUGGCUCAUUUUUCGCGGUGACGUUUGCGCCCGCGGUCUUCGAUUUGGCUUUGUGUAUAACCAUGGUGGUGAAAUACCGGUCUUCUUUUAGGACGCUCUUGGCCCAUCUGACACGGAACAUCGGAACCUUUUCUCCAACGUAGCUCAGCUCCCAGAUCUCUUCGAUCCUUCCGUAGUAUCUGUCCUUGUCGUUACCAGUGUAGGAUUCCAUCGUUACCCCGGAGUUCUGAUAAUCGCUCUUCAUGUCCUUUUCCUCGGUGUAGAAUGUGUACCCGUUGAUAUCGUACGCUUUAUAGGUCAUCAGGUUGUGCUCGGCGCCCUGUGACAAGGUGAAUAUGAGUUUUUCUUCCGUGGAAGAAUCCUCGUGUAAAGGGUACGACAGAAGCUUGUCCUUGAACCAACGCGUGAAAUAUGAGUUGUGCUCUUUGAUUAUAUCUCCGUCCGUCCUCUGUUGGCCUCGGUCAUUGUACGUCUUCUCAAUAAAGGUUUUGUGCUCUACCACCCAAGGAUCUACCACGUCUAUGUGUUGUAGCGUGACUAGGUUUACUCUUUCAAAGUCGGCGAGUCAACCCUUGAAGUCGACAUGCAUUUCGUGGCGACCCUCACGGUGACCCCAUCCAGCGAGCCUGCCGAGGUGCCUGUUGACGGGCAGACCAACGGAUUUCUCGAUUCCUAGAUAAUUCAUGCAGAAGGAGAUGCACUCUUCGGUUAGAAAGCCCUGGGCUAUGCUUCCAUCUCGACGUGCCCUGUUGCGAACAUAUCCUUUGAUAACACCAUUCAUCCUUUCAAACGACAUCAUGCUGUGCAGGAACGUCGGCCCGAAUUGGAUGAUAUCCUCCACGAUAUGGACCAGCAGAUGCACCAUAACAUCGAAUAAUGCGGGCGGGAAGUACAUCUCAAGCUCACAUAGUAUCACCAUGAUCUCUUCUUGUAGCCUUCUGAGUUGCCUCAUGCCAACCGACUUUAGAGAGAUGACGUCGAAAAAGUUGCAUAGGCCAAAUAGUGUUUCACGGACGUGCGCGUCCAUGAUCCCACGUAUUGCAACUCGAAGUAUCUGCGUCAUCAGCACAUGACAGUCGUGAGACUUCAUCCUGCUGACUUGUGCUUCGCUGAGUCUAGGUAUCUUCUUAUUUUCCCCGCGUAACCGUAAGGAAGUUUUACUCCUACGAGGCAGGUGAAAAACUGAUCGAUCUCCUUCUGACUUAGAGUGAGGCACGUGGGAGGGCAGUCAUAUUCGAUGGUCUUGGCCUUUUUGCCUUUGCGAUGACUUUCCGUGUCCUUCGCCUCAUCAUCAUUAGGGCGUUUUGCGUGAAGCUCCUCCCUGAUGCCCAUUGAUUGCAAGUCUGCCCUUGCUUUUCGCCCAUCUUUGGUCCUCUCUGGCAUGUUGAGCAGGGUACCAAGCAGACUCUCCCACACGUUCUUCGUGAUAUGCAUGACAUCAAGGCUGUGAGGCACACGGAUGAUCUUCCAAUACGGCAAGUCCGAGAAAACAGACCUCGUUUUCCAUACCUUCAGAAGCGGCUGAGGCGCCAUUCGCUUCUUUCCCGGCGGUGGGCACUCUUUCCAAUUUUUCAACAACUCAUCUAUUUCCUCGCCGCUCCUCGUACAUGGGGCUCUUCGGGGUUUGGUUUCACCAUCGAACAGAUCCUUGCGUUUUCUCCAUGCGUAAUCGCCACGAAGCCACCUUCGAUGUCCCAUGAAAACGGUUUUUGAAGACCCGGGAUCUCUAUCUAGCUGGCGAUACGUUGUGUCAUCCGUGCACCUGACACAUGCACAAAAUCCGUGGACCACCUGCCCCGCGACAUAUCCGUAACCGAGAUAGUCGUGCACCGUCGUGAGCAGUGCGGCUCUCAUAGGGAAAUAUUAUUUCGCUGCAGUGUCCCACGUAUUGGCUGGCGUUUUCCACAGCGUGUCUAGCUCCUCUUUCAGCAGCCCCAGAUACAGAUUGAUGUCGUUCCCUGGUUGUUUAGGCCCUUCAAUUAGCAUACUCAUGUGAAUGUACUUCCUCUUCAUGCACAUCCAGGGGGGAAGGUUGUACAUCCACACAAACACAGGCCAGGUGCUAUGUGUGCUUCUCUAGCUGCCAAACGGGCAGACUCCAUCGGUGCUCGCGCCCAACAUGAUGUUCCUUGGAUCGUCCCCAAAUUCUGGGUGUUCGAAGUUCAACGCUUGCCACUGGCUCGCAUCCUUAGGGUGACUCAACAUCUUGCCUUUUUUAUUUAUCUCUGGAUCAUUUCCUUCAUCUUCUCGCUUCUUCUCCUCCCUAUCCGCAUGCCAACGUAGGAGCUCUGCUUGCUUAGGGUCCGUGAAAUACCGCUGCAGACGAGGAGUGAUCUGAAAGUACCACACCACUUUUUGAGGAGCUUUCUUCCUCUUCUUUUAUCGAGUAACGCCGCACACCGGACAUAUGGUAGACUCCGCGUGCUCGUCCCGAUAAAUGAUGCAAUCGUUCAUGCACACAUGGUAUUUCACGUGCAGUGAAUCCAGAGGACACACGAUUUUCUUCGCCUCCUCGAAACUGUUCGGGCACUUGUUCCCCAUGGGAAGACGUUCGUGCCAGAAUGACAUGUUCUCGUCGAAGCAUCUGCCGGUUAUUUUGUGUUUUACCUUCAUCUCUAGAGCCAUGAGCGUUACUUUCAGGCGGGUAUCCUUGGGCCUGCAUCCUUCAUACAAUGGAGUAACUGCGUCUAUCUCCAGUUGAUCCAGCUUGGCUUUCUCUUGGGUGGCAGCUCUUGCGUUACCCGUCUGCUUGAGAAGCAGCUCUUGAAUAUGAGGGUCCUGCACCCAUCCCAUCGAUGGUCCAUCGUCGUCUGCUCCGGCAUCUUCAUCUUCAUGCUCAUGCCCUUUGUCUUGAUCUUCCUCAUCAUCAUGUCCGGCAUCUUCUACAUGAUGACUGUGUCCUGCAUCUACUUCGUGAUCAUGUCCUGGAGAUUCUUCAUCUUCUCGCCCGCUCUCGCCGCUAUUUUCUUGCAACCCUUCCUUUUUUCUUGCCCGACCCUCAUGGACGACUUCAUAAUCAUCUUCAUCACCUUGCCACCGAUAGCCAUCCAUGAAACCACGCACGAAUAGGUGGUCCCACACCUGUCUGGAAUCCGGGUCCAUAAGGCUCUUCAGCUUGCAUCUUCGACACAGACAUCUUAUCUCCAUCUCGUUCUUUUGAAGCAUCUCAGCCUUCGCGGAGCUCAAAACCUAUUCACGAUGCCUUCAGUCAUCAUGCGGACCAUGGUCGCCUGCGGGGUAGAGCCAAACGAUAUGUUAGAACCAAUUUUUUUUUGGCAUGACUUUGCCUAAAAAUAAGACAAAAAAUGCAUAGUGCCAAAUUCUCGCCGAAACGGAAAUGAAUCAACAUUCCGGCAAAAUAUUGGCAACUAUCGCAUUUCAAAUACUGGUACGUGCAAACACAAACAUAUGCAACACCACAAACAUACGUAGAUCUAGGUCAUAAAAAGUGUGUACACGUGUUGGAGGGACAAAAAAGUAGAUCUAGAACAUAAAGAAAGGUUUCCCCUUACUUACAUAUCAAAAAAAGGAAAUUUAACCACUUAAUUUGGAUGAAUAUAUGGUGCAAAUGAGGUGAGGAGGAGGAGGCAGCCGAGACUAGUGAGUGUGAAGUGGUGGAGAGAAUGAAGUGGGGGGAAAGGGAGUGUGAAGUGGGCUGUCAAAAAUAUCUCUCCUCCCAGGUUACCAAUGGCGCACCCAAGAAGAAUGCGCCAUUAGUAACCCACCAGGUAAGAAUGCGCCAUUAGUAGUUUAAAAAAAACUGAAAAAAAUAUAUUAGUAGUGGCGCACUGUGGACGUGGUGCGCCAUUACUAGUUAAAACUAGUAAUGGCGCACUUCCCAUGAUGCGCCACUGGUAAGUGUAGGAAAGGGUGGGGGGCCAGGUCAAAUAUAGUAAUGGCGCACCAGACACAUGGUGCACCAUUAGUAAUAUGGACACUAAUGGCGCACCAGUAGGUGGUGCACCACUGCUAUAUAGCAGUGGCGUACCACAUGCAUGGUGCACCAUUAAUGUCCAUAUUAGCUAUAGGCUUUUUUCUAGUAGUGUCAUAACCAGAAUUUCAGCAAGAUCACAAGCAAACCACAUAAGCAAAUGACAUCUAGGUCUCACGGUAAACUCAUAUCAAUGGCAUAAUCAAUUAGCGAGCAAAUAAUAAUAAGUCUCAAACGUCAACACUUCAAUCAAAACAACCAUGAAGCAGUACGAACAGAUGGUAUCUCGCUAGCUCUUUCUGAGACCGCAAAACAUAAAUGUAGAGCACCUUCAAAGACCAAGGGCUGACUAAACAUUGUAAUUCAUGGCAAAGAAGAUCCAGUCACAGUCAUACUCAACACAGUUAAAAGCAAAGCAUAAAAAUGAUAGAGGUGCUCUCUAAUUGGUGCUUUUGCAAGAGGAGGAUGACUCAACGGGAACAUAAAUAGACAAGCCCUUCGCAGAGGGAAGCAUUGAUUUGCAGAGGUGCCAGAGCUCAAGCUUUAAAAACAGAGAUAAUAAUUUUGGGUGGCAUGCUUUCAUUGUCAACGCAAUGACUAAGAGUUCCCACCAUCUUCCACGCUACACAUGCUAUAGGCGGUUCUCAAACAGAAAAGUAAAGUUUUGACUCCCCCACCACCGAUCAAUCACACUGCACGACUAGCCAAAUCCUCGGGUGCCGUCCAUACCAACAUCAAUCCAGGGGGAGUUUUGUUUGCAAUUAUCUUUUCGAUUUGAGCAUGGAACUGGGCAUUCCAAUUACCGGCCCCUUUCUCGUGAAUGAUAGUGAAUAAACACAUAUCAAGGAUAACACGCCUUGCAUGGAAGAUACUGAUAGCCCCCUGCCACCACAUGAGCGGUUCGGGCAUGCAAAACAGAUUAUUUCUUGAAGGUUUAGAGAGUGGCACAUGCAAAUUUACUUGGAACGGCAGGUAGAUACCGCAUAUAGGUAGGUAUGGUGGACUCAUAUGGAACAACUUUGGGUUUAUGGAAGUGGAUGCACAAGCAGUAUUCCCGCUUAGUACAAGUGAAGGCUGGCAAAAGACUGGGAAGCGACCAACUAGAGAGUGACAACAGUCAUCAAAAUGCAUUGGGAUUAACCAACAUUGCGUGCAAGCAUGAGUAGGACAUAAAUCGCCAUGAACAUGAAUAUCAUAGAGGCUAUGUUGAUUUUGUUUCAACUACAUUCAUGAAUGCGCCAAGUCAAGCCACUUGAAUCAUUCAAAGGAGGAUACCAUCCUAUCAUACUACAUCAUAGUCAUCUCAACAUUCAUGUGGGCAUCCAAGACAAACCAUUAUAAGCUCCUAACUAAUUAAGCAUGGCAUCAGAAACUAUGAUCUCUAAGUUGUCAUUGCAAACAUGUUUCUCUCACAACAAAGCUGAAUUUGGAACGAUGAGCUAGUCAUAUUUACAAAAACAAAAUAGAUUGAGUUCAUACCAGCUUUUCCAGGCUUAGUCACUUCAUCAUAUAUCGUCAUUAUUGCCUUUCACUUGCACGACCGAAUGAUGUGAACAAUAAUAAGAGUGCUCGUGCAUUGGACUACGCUAGAAUCUGCAUGCAAACACAAAGGAGAAGACAAAGUAAUAUGGCUCUUUGACAGAUAAACAGAUAUGCAUACGAGAGCCACUGAACAUUGUAACCAUGGUCUUCUACCUUGACCCAAAGAAAAAGAAAACUAUUUACAUGGGAAAACUCCCAACAAGAAAAAUAAGAAAAGAAAAUCUUUUUGGGUUUUCUCAAACUAGACAGACACACGAAAAGAAAACGAGAAAAAUAAAUAUACUAGCAUGGAUGAUACAGUGGCAAAGUGUGAACACCGACUAAUCAAAGUGAAAGCAUAAGCAAGAAUAUAAAGUCGGUGAGAAACACGUACUCCCCCAAGCUUAGGAUUUUGGCUAAGUUGGUCUACUCCCAAGGAUGGUCUGGGCGAUACCCAAAAUCAUAAUGGGGGUUAUACGGGAGCGCUGCAGCCACUGCCUGAAUAGCUGCCUCACGGAGACGAGCAGCCUUUGCCUCCCUCUCAUACUCCUCUGCCUCUCCUGUGGUUAUGUAAUAUCUCCGUUUUGCAAAUUCUAUUGAAAUCCUCUAAAUCCAUGGUAUACGAUUUGUCAUAGAGAUCAAACAGUACAGAUGUAUCACGACCAACUGAAAAUUUGAAUCUACGAACAAAAGAGGUAGUGAGAGCAACAUACUGUUCACAUUUAUUGGAGAUGAAUUCUUCGAGUCCGACAUUGUGAACAAGUGCAUCAAACUCGUCUUUGAAACCUGUCUCAAUCUUGAAUGCAUCAGAAGGACAUUCACAUGGUUGUACCUGUGCGUUCCUUGGUUGUUAAGGAUCGGGCUCCCGAAUCGCAAGACGGGGACCUCUCUUGCUUGAGGAACCACCAUGAUAGUUUCUCCUGAACAUCUUCCUUUUUUGAAAUUUUCAGUGACUCUAAGGAAAAGUGAACAAGGCUCAACGAAACUCGUAGGAACUACUCUGACAAGUGCCUAAAGGCCAUAUUACGCAUCAAAACUACUUGGGACCUGCUAAAAUUAGCAUGCAAAGCUCAAGAACAUGGUCACCAAGGCAUCAAACAUACAUGAAGUAUAAGGCACUAGAGCAAAAACUAAUUGGACCAAUGGAGGAGUCACUUACCAAGGAGUAAUUUCCCCAAAACAGUUCGGAGAAUGGUGCUUUGAGCAAGGAGACCGAAAAUCCCAUCAAGAGGAGCAAGAACACAGGUUUGAGCUGCGAAACGAUUUUUUCUGGAGGUCGGAGAAGCAGAUGAGAGCUAGAAUGAGUGGAGGGGGUGCACGUGGGCCCCACAAGCCUGGUAGGCGCGGCCGGGGGGUGCCCGUGCCUCCAGGGCUUGUGGCCCGCUGGUGCAGCCCCUAGACUAGCUCUUCGUCUCAGUAUUUUUCAAAAAAUGCAGAAAAAAUCAUACUUGAUUUUUAGGACGUUCGGAGAACAUUUAUUUUUGGGGUACUUUUCUACGGGACGCUAAAACAGAAAACAGGGAAAACUAAAAUAAAUCUAUCAUUUUUCUUUUAAGCAGUCGAAGGUGAAAGCUUGGAACACAGGUUUGUGACUCCUCGAUUCAUCCAUCUCAUGGUCAUCGAAAGAAAUCCGUCAAUGAGGUUGAUCAAGUCUCCUUGACAAACUUUUUCGAAUCACAAAAGAGAACAGAAAAUUUUCGAAUAGUCACUAGGUCUCCCCAACAAGCAAAUCAUACUUCAUCUUGACAGGAGGCAUAGGGCAUUGAAAGCUCCCAAUAAGAAUCGAUGAAGUCUUUUCGAUAGCAUUGAUGCAAUGUACUCGAUAUUGUUUCUUCGGAAAGUGCACCGUAUGCUCAUUACCGUUUACAUGGAAAGUGACAUUGCCUUUGUUGCAAUCUAUAACAACCCCUGCAGUGUUUAGAAAGGGUCUUCCGAGGAUGACAACCAUGGCAUCGUCCUUAGGAAUAUCCAGAAUAACAAAGUUUGUUAAGAUAGUGACAUUAGUAACCACAACAGGCACAUCCUCGCAAAUGCCGAUAGGGAAAGCAGUUGAUUUGUCGGCCAUUUGCAGAGAGAUUUCAGUGGGUGUCAACUUAUCCAGUUCAAGUCUACGAUAAAGAGAGAGAGAGGCAGAACACUAACACCGGCUCCAAGGUCGCAUAAAGUAGUUCUAACGUAGUUGCCUUUAAUGGAGCAAGGUAUAGUGGGCACACCGGGAUCACCUAGUUUCUUAGGAGUUCCACCCUUGAAGGUGUAAUUAGCAAGCAUGGUGGAAAUCUCAACCUCAGGUAUCCUCCUCUUAUUAGUCACAAUAUCCUUCAUGUACUUAGCAUACAGAGACAUCUUGAGCAUAUCUGUCAUACGCAUUUGUAGAAAGACAGGUCUAAUCAUUUCAACAAAUCGCUCAAAAUCCUCAUCAUCCUUUUUAUUGGAUGGUUUGGGAGGAAAGGGCAUGGGUUUCUGAACCCAUGGUUCCCUUUGUCUACCGUUCUUCCUAGCAGCAAAGUCAUACUUAUCGUAUCUUCUAUUCUUAGGCUGAGGGUUAUCAAUAUCAACAUGUUCAAUCUCCACAUCCUUAUCGUUGCUAGGUUGAGCAUCAUCAUGAACAUCACUAUUGAUAUUAUCAUUAGGCUCAUGUUCAUCACCAGAUUGUGUUUUAGCAUCAGAAACAGAGGCAUCGUUUGGACUCUCAGGUGUAUCAACAUCUGGGUUGCUAGCGUGUAGGUUCCUAUCAUCUUUCUUCUUCUUUCUAGGAUGACUAGGUGCAUCAGUGCUAACUCCUUGAGAAUCAUGUUCAAUUCUCUUAGUAUGACCCUCAGGAUACAAAGGUUCCUGGGUCAUUCUACCGCCUCAACUGACGACUCUAACGGAACUGUCCUUCAACUCAUUGAGCAAGUCAUUUUGAGCCUUAAGUACUUGUUCUACCUGAGUAGUAACCAUAGAGGCAUGUUUACUCAGAAGCUUAAGAUCAUUGACAUUUUUGUCCACACAAGCACUUAAAUGACUAAGCAUACGAGCAUUUUGUUCCAAUUGUUUGCAAACAUAAUCAUUGAAACUCCGUUGUUUGGCAACAAAGUUAUCAAAUUCAUCCAGGCAUAAGCUAGCAGGUUUAUCAAAAGGAAUAUCACUCUCAUCAAACCUACGAUGAGAAUUUACUUCUACUACCUGUGUCGGGUUAUCAAGACCAUGGAUCUCUUCGAUAGGUAGUAGAUUUUUGACAUCUUCAGAUUUAAUGCCUUUCUCUCGCAUAGAUUUCUUAGCUUCUUGCAUAUCUUCAGGACUGAGGAAUAGAAUACCUGUUUUCUUCGGAGUUGGCUUAGGAGGUGGUUUGGGAAUAGUCCAAGCAUUUUCAUUGCACAGGAUGUUAUUCAAUCAGAUCUCAGCUUGUUCUACGGUUCGUUCCCUAAAAACACAACCAACACAACUAUCUAGGUGGUCUCUAGAAGCAUCGGUAAGUCCAUUAUAGAAGAUAUCAAGUAUUUCAUUCUUCUCAAGAGGGUGACCAGGCAAAGCAUUCAGUAGCUGGACAAGCCUCCCCCAAGCUUGUGGGAGACUCUCUUCUCCAGCUUGAACAAGGUUGUAUAUUUCCUACAAGGCAGCUUGCUUCUUAUUGGCAGGGAAAUAUUUUUUAGAGAAGUAGUAGACCAUAUCCUGGGGGCUACACACACAACUAGGAGCAAGAGAAGUGAACCAAGUCUUAGCAUCAUCCUUUAGCGAGAAAGGAAACAACUUGAGGAUAUGGUAGUGGCAGAUCUUUUCCGCACUCGUGAAUAGGGUGGCUAUAUCGUGCAGUUUGGUAAGAUGGGCUACAACCAUUUCAGACUCAGAACCAUGAAAAGGAUCGGAUUCAACCAAAGUGAUUAGCUCAGGUCCGACAGAGAAUUCAUAAUCCUUAUCGGUGACAAAGAUAGGCGAAGUAGCAAACUUUGGGUCGUAUUUCAUCCUAGCAUUCAGAGAUUUUUCUUUCCACUUGAGAAAUAAUUUCUCAACAUCAUAGCUAUCCUUACACGCAAUAAAAUCCUCAGCUAUCUCUCCCUCCAUAACAUAACGCUCAGGCAUAUCAGGCAAUUCAUGUCUAGGAGAGCUAGUUUGAGCAGGCAAAAUAGCAGGUUCUACUUCAAUAGUAUCAGCAGUUUUAGAAGUAUCAUCACAUCUAGCAGCAACUCUAGCAAUUUGUUCAUCAAGGAAUGCACCUAGUGGCAAAGCAGUAUCAAGCAUAGCAUCAUGACGCAAAGCAGUGUCAAGCAUAUCAUCAUGAGGCAAAGCAUUAUCAAGCAUAGCAUCAUCAUAAGCAUCAUGGGCAGCAGAAGUAGCAUCAUCAAUCACAGGCGACAUAUCAAGAUUUCUAGCAGGAGGUGGUGUCGCAAACUUACUCAUAACUGAAGGUGAAUCAAGUGCAGAGCUAGAUGGCAGUUCCUUACCUGUCCUCGUAGUUGAGGGCAAGACUUUAGUUCUUGGAUCUAUCGGAUUCCUCAUAGUGACCAGCAGACAUAAAUCCCAAGUGACUCAGAGAAUAUAGCUGUGCUUCCCCGGCAACGGCGCAAGAAAAAGGUCUUGAUAACCCAUAAGUAUAGGGAUCGCAACACUUCUCGAGGGUAGAAUAUUCAACCCAAAUUUAUUGAUUCGACUCAAGGAGAAGCGAAAGAAUAUUCUCCUCUCAAGUAUUAGCAGUUGAGUUGUCAAUUCAACCACACCUGAAAGAUUUAGUAUCUGCAGCAAAGUAUCAGUAGCAAGGUAGUGUGAUAGCAACAGUAACCAGUAGUAGCAAAGUGACAACAGUAGCAACAAAGUAUCAGCAGUAACAAUAGAGUAACAGUAGCAACAGUGACAGUAGUAGCGGCAAAGUAACGUAGCAAGGACCAGUAGGAAAAGACUCGUAGGCAUUGGAUCGACGAUGGAUGAUUAUGCCGGAUGCUAUUCAUCAUGUAACAGUUAUAACACGGAGAGAUAAGUAACUAGCUCCAGUUCGUCAAUCUAAUGUAGGCAUGUAUUCCGUAUGUAGUCAUACGUGCUUAGGGAAAAGAACUUGCAUGAAAUCUAUUGUCCAUCCCUCCCGUGGCAGCGGGGUCCUAAUGGAAACUAUGGGAUAUUAAGGUUCUCCUUUUAAUAAAGAACCGGAGCAACGCAUUAACACUUGGUGUAUACAUGAACUCCUCAUACUAUGGUCAUCUCCGGAAGUGGUUCCAGCUAUUGUCACUCCGGGGUUGCCGGGUCAUAACACAUAGUAGGUGACUACAACUUGCAAGAUAGGAUCAAGAACACACAUAUAUUGGCGACAACAUAAUAGGUUCAGAUCUGAAAUCAUGGCACUCGGGCCCUAGUGAGAAGCAUUAAGCAUGGCAAAGUAGUAGCAACAUCAAUCUCAGAACAUAGUGGAUACUAGGGAUCAAUACCCAUCAAAACUAACUCGAUUACAAGGUAGUUAUCAUCCAACCCAUCACCGUUCAGCAAGCCUAUGAUGAGAUUACUCACGAACGGUGAAGAGCAUCAUGGAAUUGGCGAUGAAGGAAGGUUGGUGAUGACGAUGGCGACGAUCUCCCCUCUCCGGAGCCCAGAACGGACUCCAAAUCUGCCCUCCAGAUGAAGAACAGGAGGUGGCGGUGCCUCCGUAUCGUGAAACGCGAUGAACUCUUAUCCUUGAUUUUUUCCGGGCGAGACGAACUAAAUAGAGCUGAGAUUGGUGGCGGUGGAGCGUUGUGGGCCCCACAAGCCUGCCAGGCGCGGCCAGGGGGCCCGCGCCUGGUGGGCUUGUGGGCUCCAUGCUCCACCUCCUCCGCUGAUUCUUGCGCCAAUAUUUUUCAUAAAUUCCAGAAAUAUUCUCCCUAAGUUUUCAGGUCAUUCCAAGAACUUUUAUUUCUGCGCAAAAACAACACCAUGGCAAUUCUGUUGAAAAUAGUGUUAGUCCGGGUUAGUUCCAUUCAAAUCAUGCAAAUUAGAGUACAAAACAAGGGCAAAAGAGUUCGGAAAAGUAGAUACGACGGAGACGUGUCAUGCAGCAAAGUGGCCCAAUCCCUUUUGUAGCAAGGGACAAGCCUGGACGAAGUCUUAUAGGAGGAAAAACGCUCCCGAGGACACACGGGAAUUUCUGUCAUCCUAGUUUUCAUCAUGUUCAUAUGAUUCACGUUCGUUACUUUGAUAGUUUGAUAUGUGGGUGGACCGGUGCUUGGGUACUGCCCUUACUUGGACAAGCAUCCCACUUAUGAUUAACCCCUCUCGCAAGCAUCCGCAACUACGAAAGAAGAAUUAAGACAAAGUCUAACCAUAGCAUUAAACUAGUGGAUCCAAAUCAACCCCUUACGAAGCAACACAUAAACUAGGGUUUAAGCUUCUGUCACUCUAGCAACCCAUCAUCUACUUACUACUUUCCAAUGCCUUCCUCUAGGCCCAAAUAAUGGUGAAGUGUUAUGUAGUCGACGUUCACAUAACACCACUACAGGAAAAACAACUUACAACACAUCAAAAUAUCGAACGAAUACCAAAUUCACAUGACUACUAUUAGCAUGACUUAUCCCAUGUUCUCAGGAACAAAAGUAACUACUCACAAAGCAUAAUCAUAUUCAUGACCAUAGAGGUAAUGAGUAGCAUCAAAUAUGUGAACAUAAACUGUUCCACCAAGUAAUCCAACUAGCAUCAACUACAAUUAGUAAUUAACACUACUAGCGACCUUACAAGUACCAGUCGGGGUCGUGAGACGGAGAUUGGUUACAAGUGAUGAACUAGGGUUUGGAGAUGAGAUGGUGCUGAUGAAGAUGUUGAUGGUGACGAGCCCCGUCCGAUGAGAGGAGUGUUCGUGAUGACGAUGGCAACAAUUUCCCCCUCCAGGAGGGAAGUUUCCCUGGCAGGAUCGUCCUGCCGGAGCUCUAGAUUGGUUCUGCUCAAGUUCUGCCUCGUGGGAGCGGCGAAUCCUACGAAAAUCCUCCUCCUGAAUUUUUUUGGAACGAAACUCUUCAUAUAGCAAAAGAUGAGCGCCGGAGGGGCAAUACGGGGCCCACAAGCCCCCCAGGCCCGACCAGGGGGGUAGGCCGGGCCUGGCAGGCUUGUGGCCUCUUGGUGGUGCCCCUCUGGUACUUCUUCCGCCCAGUAUUUUUCAUAAAAUCCAAAAUAAUUCCCCGUUGAUUUUCACGGCUUUUGGAGUUGCGCAUAAUAGGUAUCUCAAACUUGCUCCCUUUUCAGACCAGAAUUCCAGCUGCCGGCAUUCUCCCUCUUCAUGUAAACCUGAUAAAAUAAGAGAGAAAAGGCAUAAGUAUUGUACCAUGAAGUGAAAUAACAACCCAAAAAGCGAUAAAUAUCGACAUGAAAGCAUGAUGCAAAAUGGACGUAUCAACUCCCACAAGCUUAGACCUCGCUUGUCCUCAAGCGAAAGCCUAGAUCAAUAAACAUGACCACAUGUUUAGGGAGAGAGGUGUCGACAAAACAAGAUACGAACAUGCAGGCAUCAUGAUCAUGAUCAGAAUGGCAAUACCAACAUAUAAUCUCUCAUGCCAAAGUGACAAAUCCUUCACAAAGUAAAGCAUGGAUCAAGAACCUUACCGAGAAUUAACAACCGAUAGCCUUUUGUUAUUGAAGCAAUUGCAAUUUAUCACAACAUCAGAAAGAGUUAAAUAAGAGCUUGUAAAGCAAAUCCACAUACUCAAUCAUCUGUUCGUUCUCUACAGUUGCUACAACUCACAUGGUACUCAUGAGAUCAAAGUUUCAGCUGGACACAGAGAAAGAUAGGGGCUUAUAGUUUCACCUCCCAACCAUUUACCUCAAGGGUAAUGUCAACGAUAAUAAUUCAUGAAUACUUACUUCCAAGUUGACAUAUGAAUAUAGAUCUUUCCCUAGCAUAUGACGUUAGCCAAGAUAAAGGGCAAAUAAGGAAUUGGUGAAGAUCACCAUGACUCUUUCAAGGGCAAAAAGUAAAGGUACAAGAUAGGCCCUUCGCAGAGGGAAGCAGAGGUUGUCAUGCACUUUUGAGGUUUGGAUGCGUGUCCUCUUAGUUCGGAGGAACGCCACUUUAUAUUGCCUCCUGUGAUAGAGAACUUUAUUAUGCAGUUUGUCGCUUUUAUGUCUUCCUCAUCACAGGUUCGUACAAAGCUUAUUUUCCACACACUAAUAGAUCAUACAUAUUUAGGGAGAAUUUUUUUUAUUGCUUGCACCGAUGACAACUUACUUGAGGGAUCUUAUUCAAUCCAUAGGUAGGUAUGGUGGACUCUCAUGGCAAAACUGGGUUGAAGGUUUAUGGAUGCACAAGUAGUAUCUCUACUUGGUGCGGGAGUUUUGGCUAACAUGAGGUGGAAGCAAUCGUCACAUGCUAAGGGAUCUCUAAUCACAUAACAUUAUUCGGAACCAACCAAACACAAUUC